rnacentral:lncRNA from 1 species
UUCAAGAACUCUCCAAAUACACGAAAAUCUCAGAAAAAACUAAACAUACUUGCAUCUGACACUCACACAGGAGUUUUGUGUAACAUAAUGCAUCACAUGUCUUAUUAUUUCAUUGUCUUGCUAGUUUUGUGAUGUUAAAUUUCAUUUGCUUUUGAUAGGUGGGCAAUAGUAUAUCUAGCACAAAUGAAACCACUCAUUGUCCCCAUUUUAAGUGAAGGAGAGUGAAGUGUGUAUGUGUGUGUGUAUAUAUAUUGCACAAAAAUCAUUUGGAAGAUUAUCAGUAAAUCAGCAAUUAUGGAUUUUGGCCAUUGAGGGAAUACCUGAAUUUCAUUGUUUAAUGGAAUGGGUAAUUCAGUGUGCUCUCAUAAGUUGAUGUUGUAUGUGCUUUGAUUUGGAAUGGUGUUGGUUCUUUGAUGGUAUUAGUCUCAUUUGUUAUAUUGUUAUCAUUUUAUUAAAUUUUUAUAAAUUUUAAUGUUGUUCUAUCAACUAUGUGUAAUUUUGAUAAAAUAAUAAUUGCUUCAAAUAAAAUAUAUGGCAUCUCUUGUUAAUUGUUGCUUUUUCACCCCCAAAUAAUGCAUACUCACAGACAGAGAGACACACGCAUGUAUAUAUAAGAACAAAAUCUGUGAUUGGUAAUUAGCAUCUAAAAGAAGAAUUGUGAAUAUGAACCGGGUAAAUUACAAAAUAGUCAUUUAAUUAUGCUUUUUGUUCUAUUUUGGUUGUCCAACUAUUAUUAUUUUUAAUUUAGUCACUAAAAUUUUUGAAAUUAAAUAUUUUAGUUAUGGGGUUUUUUUAUUGGUUUAAUAAUAAAAUUAGUUUUUAUUAAUUUGAUGUUAAAUAUAAAAAAUUCAAAGAAUUUAACUUUCAAUAUUUACAAAAUUUGUCAUUUUAGUUUAAAUUUUAUAAAAAAUCAAUAAAUUUAGCCCUUAAUAUUUACAAAAUUUGUCAAUUUAGUUCUAAUUUUAAAAAUUAAAGAAAAAUAUAUUUUUUUUGCCUUUUUAACUCACCUUUUGACAUUUUAGCAUCGGAAGCAAUUUUUUUUCUUUUUUCCUAACUGGAACAUAAACAGGCCCUAGCUAGUCGGAGAAUGAAUUUGGGGCGGUACAACACCUCCGACGAUAAAUCUAUAGUUGCAGUAUCGCCUUUACCUCAAAGAUGUCAGUUAACAUAUAGUACUUCAAAAUUGUUUAAAAAAAAAAAUUCAAAGAAUAACGAAUCAGAUCGUAAAUGAAAUUUCUCUACACAAGAAAAAUUAGCAGAAAUGACUUGAACCUAAUGAUAAACUUUUAAAGGAAAAAAAAAUCAAGAGUGAGAUAAAAAAAAAAUGGGGAAAUUACCUUAACUUAGAGAAGAAAAUAUAUGAAUUCCUCGGUGGCAUACUGCCAGCUUUGAUCUUGACUUUAGCUCACCCAGAAUGUCGAAGUGUGUGAUAAAGGGUUAAAAAUAUAUUUUUAAAAUUUUUAGUAUUAGAAUUAAAUGGAUAAUGUUUACAAAUGUUGAAAGUUAAAUUUAUUAAUUUUUUAGAAUUUGAAUUAAAAUAAUAAAUUUGUAAUUUUUUUAUAUUUAGGAUCAAAUUAAUAUAAUGUGUAAAUAUUGGAGGGUUAAAUUUGUUUAGACCAAUAAAAAAGCCCAUGUCAACUUUACAUCACUCAUCUAAUGAUAAUUAAUGGGUAAGUGACUAAAAUAUUUAAUUUCAAAAAGUUUAGUGACUAAAACAAAUAAAUUAAUAGUUGAGCAACCAGAAAAGAAGCAAAGGUAUAGUUUGGAGAUUAUUUUUGUAGUUUACCCAAAAAAGUUAAUGACUAAAUUGUAAGUUUUUUCAGUUAAGUUACCAAAACAAAAACUUACUUAUAGUUUAGUGACUAAGGCUGAAUUUACCCUUUAUGAAAUGGUAUAAUGGGCUUAAGUUAGAGCCCAAUUUAGGCCCCAAAAAGAAGCAGCAUUGUCGUUAAUCCCCUCAUCAAUUAGCCCUAAAAAUCCCAAUUCAUCUCUCACCUUUUCCCCCAAAUUUGAAGUUAGAAUCACGAUUCAAUUUGAAGUAAAAAAAGGAAGAAUGAGUAACGUUCCAAAAGAAGCCAUUGAAGUGAUAGCACAGAGCAUUGGAAUUACCAAUUUGUCCCCAGAUGUUGCCCUUUCUUUGGCUCCUGAUGUUGAAUAUCGCGUUCAAGAAAUCAUGCAGGUGAUUUUCAAUUUUGCCUUUUGUCUUUGUAUAAAUUCAAAUGUUUGGAUCAUUUUUCUAAUUCAAGUCAUAGUGUAGGAGGCAAUUAAAUGCAUGCGCCACUCACGGCGGACGGUUUUGACAGCUGAUGACGUUGACAGUGCUCUUAAUCUGAGAAACGUGGAGGUACAUUUUCAAGUUUCGAAAAUUUUCUGUUUACUGUAUUUUUAUUAUUAUUAUUUUCCUUUUUAGUUGAAAAUAGUGCUAAUUAAUGUUAUUUGUUAGUAUAAAUUUGUUAGAAUCUUAUGAAUUUUUAAUGAUGUACUACCUUGAUUUGUUAGACUAAUGUGAUAAUUUCUACUUCAUGUGUAUUAAUCCAUAAAUUUUAUCAAAAGUGGAAUUUUGAAAACUUUGAAUAUUAAGUUUAACCUUCUGCUUUAGAUUUUGCAUUUUGGUUAAUUGGCUUGUGUUAUGUGUUUCUCUGGCAUCAGCCGAUAUGUGGAUUUGCCUCUCGUGAUGCACUACGAUUCAAGAAAGCCGCUGGGCAUAAGGAUUUGUUCUACAUUGAUGACAAAGAUGUGGAGUUUAAAGAAGUAAGAACUUAUCAACAAUAUUCGAGGUUCUGUUGUAUGUUGCCUUAUUAAAGUAGCCUUCACUUAAAUUCUUCUAUGUUGCCUUAUGUAUGUAGGUUCUUGAGUCACCUUUACCAAAAGCACCACUUGAUACAUCUGUUACAUCCCACUGGCUUGCGAUUGAAGGCAUUCAACCAGCAAUUCCAGAAAAUGCUUCAAUUGAAGGUACCGUCUUAGCUAACCUAAAUAGUCUCUCGAAGCUAUUUGUGUUGAAGACUCUCAUGGUUCAUGUUCUUUUCUGGUUUUAUCACUUUAAUCUAAUACGACUUAUCUUCAUUUCUACACGGAAUUGGUAUUUUGCUUUCCAUGCAGCACCUUCUGAUGGUAAAAAGGCUGAAUACAAAGAAGAUGGGCUUUCCGUUGAUGUCAAAUUACCUGUUAAGCAUGUAUUAUCUAGAGAGCUUCAAGUAUGUUGUACAUCUUCAGCAACAUUUUUAUGUUAAAAUACAUUUUGCACAGAAUGAUAUUAGAAGACUAAUUUUUGGUUGUCAUGCAGCUUUACUUUGACAAGAUCGUGGACAUUACCAUGAAUAAAUCAGUCUCAAUUCUCUUUAAACAAGCAUUACUGAGUUUGGCAACAGACUCGGGAUUACAUCCUUUAGUUCCUUAUUUUACAUAUUUCAUUGCGGAUGAGGUUGUCUUAAAGAUCUUUCAUACCUGAUUAUAUAUGUGUUGCAAAGAACUUUUGGUUGGUUAUCUCAAGCUUACAUUUUUGCGACAUUUAUCUCAGGUUGCACGGAAUUUGAAUAAUUUCCCUCUCAUGUUUGCUUUGAUGCGUGUUGCCCGAAGUCUUCUCCAGAAUGAACACUUACACAUAGAACCUUAUGUGAGUUUAUUAUUUCAAUCAUUUAGAAGUACACGAACUAAUGCAAAUAUGCUAGUGGUUUAUUUUCCACCUAUCUGAUUUUUUAAAAUGUUCUUCAGUUACACCAGUUGAUGCCAUCUAUUAUUACCUGCCUCGUUGCAAAAAGGUUAGGAAAUAAAUUCACCGACAAUCAUUGGGAACUUAGAAACUUCGCAGCAAAGCUAGUGGCAUCAAUAUGCAAAAGGUGAAGAUUUCUUUUCUUUUGGACUUAUACAUGUAUAUUCGUUUUUAUAAAUUUCAGGUGUCUGAGUUUUUAGUUAUAAACUUGGAUCUAUUCUUCAAAUCAUGUGUAUAUCAUUUUUAUGCUAUUUCAUACAUGCAAAACAAAUGGUGCGAGUGUGCAUGUUAUAUGCAGAAUACAUAGAUUAAUUACGUGUGGAUCAUUAAGCCUGCCUAUGUUUGACCAUUGUGUGUGGCUACCUUUUUUUACAUGAUCCAAUUUUCGAUAUGCUUUGCUUUUAGUUGAAUGCGGAAAAGGUUAGAACUUAAUUUCCGGCAUAAUGAUUUGUCUUGGAUAUGUAGAUUUUACAUGCAUUUCUUACAAGUCAAUAUUUUAUAGAUUUGGGCAUGUUUAUCACAAUCUUCAGCCACGUGUGACAAGGACACUGCUUCACGCUUUUUUGGACCCAACGAAAACAUUUCCCCAGCAUUACGGAGCAAUUCAAGGGUUAGCAGCCCUUGGACCCAGUGUGGUAUAAUUCUAAUCUCAAAUAUUUACUAGCAACACAAUAAGAUACUUGUUUGUGGGAUCAAUUGGUCAAAGAUAUUGCAAUGAUAGCUAUCUUUUUAAGCCCAUUUCUUUCCGAAAACUGUUUUGUCACUCUUUUCUGCAAGAUCCGAAGAAAGAAAGAAAUUGGAAAUGUAUGGUCCAAAAGUUUAAAUAUGCAGUUUCUCUAUAGGUAUCUCUAUUAUGGCAUCUGUAAAGUUUGUCUUUCAUAUGUUUGGCUAACGCUUCUUCUUCCAUAUGUAGGUUCGUUUACUUAUACUACCAAAUCUUGAAUCGUAUUUGCAGCUUCUUGAACCUGAAAUAAAAAGACACGAGGCCUGGUGUGUGUAUGGGGCCCUGCUGGUAAGUUUCACAUCAAAUUUGGUACCAGUUUACGAGCAUCGUUUCAUUUAUUUGCUGUAGAACUAACAACACUGCAUAAAAUUUCCACUAACAGCGUGCAGCUGGACUGUGCAUGUAUGAUCGGCUUAAAAUGUUCCCCAGUUUGCUAGCACCCCCAACUCGUCCCGUCUGGAAAAGCAACAACAAAGUUGCGACAAGUAUGAUUUCUUCGAACCAUCAUAUUUACACUUAAUCCACAAGUCUCUUCGCCCCCUUUACGAUAUUCCUUUUUCUUAUCAAUCAAGAUAAACGAAAAGCAAUCACGGACACAUUGAUGCAGCAGCAACCACCUGCCAAGAAAAUAGCAACUGAGAGUGCAAUAGGUAUGAUGCCAAUAAAUUCCAUGCAAACUGAUUUACAAGGGGAAGUUAGCGGCUUUUCUACCACCGUAGGAGGUUCCAGUAUCGGUGUAUCAUCAAUGUCACGGCCGUUAUCAAACGAUAACAUGCUAGGAAGGGAGGUUGGGGGUCGAGUUUCAAAGAAAUCAACCGUUCUAGCUCAGGCUUGGAAGGAAGACACAGACCCAGGGAACUUGUUAGCAUCAUUAUUUGAACUUUUUGGUGAAAGUAUGUUAUCAUUUACUCCCAAACCUGAGCUUUCAUUCUUCCUUUGAUUGAAUUUCACCUCCAAAAGCUAUAGUUUUUGAAGGAAUUUGUGUAAAUUAUCCCCAUAGUUUUUUUCAGUCUUACUGUGUUUAUCUUUAUAAGUCUUCUUUNNNNNNNNNNNNNNNNNNNNNNNNNNNNNNNNNNNNNNNNNNNNNNNNNNNNNNNNNNNNNNNNNNNNNNNNNNNNNNNNNNNNNNNNNNNNNNNNNNNNNNNNNNNNNNNNNNNNNNNNNNNNNNNNNNNNNNNNNNNNNNNNNNNNNNNNNNNNNNNNNNNNNNNNNNNNNNNNNNNNNNNNNNNNNNNNNNNNNNNNNNNNNNNNNNNNNNNNNNNNNNNNNNNNNNNNNNNNNNNNNNNNNNNNNNNNNNNNNNNNNNNNNNNNNNNNNNNNNNNNNNNNNNNNNNNNNNNNNNNNNNNNNNNNNNNNNNNNNNNNNNNNNNNNNNNNNNNNNNNNNNNNNNNNNNNNNNNNNNNNNNNNNNNNNNNNNNNNNNNNNNNNNNNNNNNNNNNNNNNNNNNNNNNNNNNNNNNNNNNNNNNNNNNNNNNNNNNNNNNNNNNNNNNNNNNNNNNNNNNNNNNNNNNNNNNNNNNNNNNNNNNNNNNNNNNNNNNNNNNNGAAAUUUUGCUAAUUCAAUUUCCCAAGUCUUUACUCAAAGUUGGUUCUAAAUUAAAUUUAGAAAAAGAAAAGAAAACAUGUCUUACUUUUAUAUUAUACUGGUCAUUCAUAUUAUCAAGUAAUAAUAUAAAUUUUUAUAUGAUUAAUUUCUGUAUAUUAUAUUAAUCAGUUUUGUUACCUUGGAAUUCUGAUAAGUUUAUUUUGGUUAAAUUGGAGUGAAUAUUACUAUUUCCAUUUUUGGAAUUAAAGCAACCUAUAUGUACCCUUUUACAGUCUGCAUUGUUCCAUGUUUCAAUUCAUUAUAUCAUUCCUUCAACUCUGCUAUACAUUAUUUCUCCAUAUAACCAAACCUUUUACUGCUAACUUGUAAAUAAAUUAUGAAAAUACAACACAGAUCAUUGAGCCAUUUUGUUCUCCUUUCUCCUUUACUGAGUAGUAGCAAAGAUUAUCGAGACUAAAUUGAAAGUCAUGAAAGAAGACAUUACAGAUAGUACGAAAUGCAAUGAAAGACAGAGGAAUUGGUACAAUAAUAAAGACAGACACAUACCAAUGCAACCCUUCACCAUAGGCAAAACGGUCUACAGACCAAGAAAUUAUGAAAAUACAACACUAAUUCUUCAACAUCAUUUGCACCAUAUGUUUUGCAUGUGUGAAAUAACAUAAAAGUGAUAUACACAUGAUUUGAAGAAUAGAUCCAAGUUUAUAACUCAAAAAUCAGACACCUGAAAUUCAUAAAAACGAAAAUGCAUGUAUAAGUCCAAAAGAAAAGAAAUCUUCACCUUUUGCAUAAUGAUGCCACUAGCUUUGCUGCGAAGUUUCUAAGUUCCCAAUGAUUGUCGGUGAAUUUAUUUCCUAACCUUUUUGCAACGAGGCAGGUAAUAAUAGAAGGCAUCAACUGGUGUAACUGAAGAACAUUUUAAAAAAUCAGAUAGGUGGAAAAUAAACCACUAGCAUAUUUGCAUUAGUUCGUGUACUUCUAAAUGAUUGAAAUAAUAAACUCACGUAAGGUUCUAUGUGUAAGUGUUCAUUCUGGAGAAGACUCCGGGCAACACGCAUCAAAGCAAGCAUGAGAGGGAAAUUAUUCAAAUUCCGUGCAACCUGAGUUAAAUGUGGCAAAAAUGUAAGCUUGAAAUAACCAACCAAAAGUUCUUUGCAACACACAUAUAUAAUGAGGUAUGAAAGAUCUUUAAGACAACCUCAUCCGCAAUGAAAUAUGUAAAAUAAGGAACUAAAGGAUGUAAUCCCGAGUCUGUUGCCAAACUCAGUAAUGCUUGUUUAAAGAGAACUGAGACUGAUUUAUUCAUGGUAAUGUCCACGAUCUUGUCAAAGUAAAGCUGCAUGACAACCAAAUUAGUCUUUUAAUAUCAUUCUGUGCAAAAUGUAUUUUAACAUAAAAAUGUUGCUGAAGAUGUACAACAUACUUGAAGCUCUCUAGAUGAUACAUGCUUAACAGGUAAUUUGACAUCAACGGAAAGCCCAUCUUCUUUGUAUUCAGCCUUUUUACCAUCAGAACCAAUUCCAUGUAGAAUUGAAGAUAAUCGUAUUAGAUUAAAGUGAUAAAACCAGAAAAGAACAUGAACCAUGAGAGUCUUCAACACAAAUAGCUUCGAGAGAAUAUUUAGGUUAGCUAAGACGGUACCUUCAAUUGAAGCAUUUUCUGGAAUUGCUGGUUGAAUGCCUUCAAUCACAAGCCAGUGGGAUGUAACAGAUGUAUCAUGUGGUGCUUUUGGCAAAGGUGACUCAAGAACCUACAUACGUAAGGCAACAUAGAAGAAUUUAAGUGAAGACUUCUUUAAUAAGGCAACAUACAACAGAACCUCGAAUAUUGUUGAUAAGUUCUUACUUCUUUAAACUCCACAUCUUUGUCAUCAAUGUAGAACAAAUCCUUAUGCCCAGCGGCUUUCUUGAAUCGUAGUGCAUCACGAGAGGCAAAUCCACAUAUCGGCUGAUGCCAGAGAAACACAUAACACAAGCCAAUUAACCAAAAUGCAAAAUCUAAAGCAGGAGGUUAAACUUAAUAUUCAAACUUCCAAAACUAAGUUUUCAAAAUUCCACUUUUGAUAAAAUUUAUGGAUUAAUACACAUGAAGUAGAAAUUAUCACAUUAGCCUAACAAAUCAAGAUAUAGUACAUCAUGAAAGAUUCAUAAGAUUCUAACAAAAUUAUACUAACAAAUAACAUUAAUUAGCACUAUUUUCAACUAAAAAGGAAAAAGAAUAAUAAAAAAAUAAAAAAUUAUGAGAGAAAUACUGAGCACUGUUAGAGGAUAGGCAAAGAUUUUAGCUCCACAAUGACAAAAAUGGACUAAAAAGAACAAGUUUAUUAAUAAUAAAUAAAAAUAACAAAUCUUCAUCGAAAAUAUACAAAAAUAUCUUUUCAUAGUUGAGUAACUAAGAAAUUUAUUAAUAGUUAGGUGGCUACCAAUAUAGUUUACCCUUAAAAUUUUCGGACCAUUUCUGGCCCGAAAAAAUUUUGGGUUGUUUAGAGUUUUAAUUUUGUAUUGUGUUUUCUUUUCUUUGUUGUAUCAGAGAGUGCAGAAAAACAUGGUAAUUAUGAACAAGCACAUCAAUGGCGGAUUGUCGUGUAUGUGCAUGCCUUUAGCUGUCAUUGGAAUUGUGGUUCUGCUUGUCCUUAUAUACCUACUCAUCAAAUACUUGUAAGAGAUAAUAUCACAUUUCGUAAUGGUACUUUCAUAGAAUGUUUAAUGUGUAUCUAAAUUAUUAAUAUGUGUUCUAUUAUAGUACAUGUAUUUUUUAUAAAAUGUCUAAUGUAGUAUUCGUACUUUGAAAAUGUCUAAUGUGGUACAUGAACUAUCAAUAUAUGUUUUAUUAUGGUACUUAAUGUUAACACCAUUAAUGAAUUGUUAGACCAACAAAUGAAAAUUUGACACGCAAUUUUUCUUUUUCUAAUUCAUCAAGUCCACAUGUAUAAAAUAACAUUAUGUGAAAACUAAAUAAAACAAUUAAAUUAAAUUUACAUAACCAAAAAUAUUAUAUUCUCCAUUUAAGCAAAUGAUCAUCUUCUCCAAAGAGUUUUCCCUUUAAAAUAAUAUUUUCAAUUGAUUUUUAAAUAAUAUUUUUUAUUAUCUUUGAAAGUACGGGUUUUUUUUAUUAACCAUAUGUUUAGUUAUUUGUUUUUUUAAUUUCAUUUAAUUAUUGUUUUAUUUAGUUUUUCACUAUUAUAUUAUCCACGUGGACUUGAUAAUUAAAAAAAAAGGGUUCUAUGUGUCAAAUUUUCAUUAGUUGAUUUAGCAAUUUUCUAAUAGUGUUAAUACCAAGUACCAAUGGCGGAUACUGGGAGUUGGAACUAGGUUUUUUUUUUUUGGGGGGGGGGAGGGGGCAAGUAAAAUUUUCUAAAAAUUUAAUGGUUUAAUAAGAUUUUUAAAAAAAAAAUUUGGGGGUCUAAUAAAAAAUUUUAAAUUUUUUGUGAGAUUAAUGAGAAUUUUCAAAAUUUUAAAAGUGCUUAAUUAAAAUUUUCAAAAAAAAAUUAAAAGGUAUAAUGAAAAUUUUCAAAAAUUUUGGGGGCUUAAUUGAAAUUUUCUAAAAAUUUCAAAGGAAAAAAUAAAAUUCUCCGAACUCUUUUUUUUUUUUUGCAGGGGAGACGGGACAAAGAGCCCCCUAAGCCACCAUAAUAGUCCGUCUUUACCAAGUAUCAUAAUAAAACAUCUAUUGAUAGUUUAGGUACCACAUUAAACAUUUUCAAAGUACAUGUACCAUAAUAAUAACACAUAUUGAUAGUUCAGGUACCACAUUAUAUAUUUUCAAAGUACUUGUACCACUAAACAUUUUAUGAAAGUACAGAUGCCAAAGGUGACAUUAUCCCUGCUUAUAAUAAUAAUAUCAAAGUUAAAAGAUGCUUUUAGUCCCUAUAUUUAAAAGGUUAGAAAUUAAGUCUUUCGAACUUUUUUAUUUAAAAAUCUCGCAAUAAUCAUUAAACUCAUAAGUAUUUUCUGUCAAAAUUUAGUAAUUUAACAUGUUGAUAAGCUAACGGAAACUACAACCAUCAUAAAUAAUUAAACUAAAAUUUUUAAAUUAAGAGAAAUUAACUUUUAAAGUACAGGGACUAAAACUCAAAUUCUAUAAACCAUUGUUGUUUUAUGCAUGUCGUGAAUGUACGGAAUUUGUUUUCAAUUCUGAAAAAAGCUUGUUACUUUCUAUUUGGUUUUCUCUGAUUUUCUCUUUACAUCAUUUCAUUUCAUGCUUUUUAAUUAGGUGGUUAUGAUUGAUUUUAGGUGGUGUGAAUUUGGCUCGGGUCAAUUUUAAUUUAAAAAUUUUCGGGUUAUUUCGAGUUUAUAUUAUAUAAAAUUUGGGUUAUUUUAGGAUUAAAUUAUUUUGGAUUUGAGUCGGUGUAAGGUUUUUUUUUUCUUUCAUAGUUUAGUUCACUUGAUUUGUGUUUUUGGAUUGCAUCAUUUCGAGUUUUGUCGUUCGGGUUUGACAAUUAAUUCAAAUCAUUUCAAGAUCAUGUGAUUUUGGAUUCAAAUUAUCAGUUUUUUAUAAUCAAAUCGAGUUGAGUUAAGUUUAAAUUCAAAUUAAUUAGGUUGUAUUUUUAUGAUUCUGAUAUACCGAACAUUUUUAUCGAUUCAAUUUUACUACUUACUAAAACUUAUGUUUCUCAAAAUACUUUUUUCAAAUUAAAAUUUAUUAAUUAUUUAAAUUAAGAUGUUAUUUUUUUAUUCUUUAUAUAUGUUUUAUAGUCCGUGUUCAAGAUCCGUGGAUACCCCACACAACAUUGUUAUCUCCAACGCUUGAAUAUGCAUUCUCCUUGAAUUGCUUUGAUUUUUUUAAAAAUGGACCAAUUUACUUAAUAUCAAAAUUGAGAGGGACUAAAGAGGGUUUUCACCAUCUAAAAUGUUAUCUAAUACAAAAAACUUAACAACUAUUUUUUCAAUUAUGAAAGGGUAAACUACAUAAUUAGCCACUAAACUAUGGGUGAAUCUUCGUUUUGGUCACUUAACUAAAAAAAUUACAAUUUGGUCACCCUAUUGUUAAAUGACACUUUUUAGUUAAUAUAAUAACAAUUUUAGUAUUCUAUGUUUAUAAUUCUUUUUGCCAAUUUACCUCGAUUCUAUAUAAAAAUUAUAAAAAAACUCAAAAUUAUUUUUAAAAAAUAUAAACUUCUAUAUAAAAAUUCUAGAAAAAUAAAAUCUCGAAUAUGUUGUUGUUGAAGAAGUAAUAUGAAUGGGAAAUAAAAAAAAUUAUCAUUCAAUAGAAUCUCAUAACAAAUUAAAAAUAGAACAAAACAAAAAAAAAAAGGUUAGAUCAUUAUAUGCUUCCUCAAUGUUUUUUGCAACCAAAUUAGUAAAAUUUUCAAGUUGAGUUCCAUGCCCUUGAAGAACAUCCGUAACUAAUAUUACAAAAGCUUACAAAAUCAACUUUGAUGCCAUUUUUCAAGCAAAAAUAUAAAACAUGCCACAAAAUUUUCUUUUUCAAACUCAAUUCGAAUUUUCAAUUCAUUUAAAUUUAUUAUUAAAAACCCAAAUUAUAAAAGCAGAUUAUAUACAGAUAAUUUUACUUAAUCUUUUUUUACUUUUUUUCUAUAUUUUCUAAAAGAAUGGAUAUUAGAUAUUUUUUUACAGAUAAUGCAAAGAAAAUUUGGAGGGUUUAAAAAUAAUAUUUUCCUCAUUUUCUCUCACUUUAUUUAUAUUUGAAAUUUUUAUCUACUUUCAUUUAAUUUUUAAUUUUUAGAAUUUUGUAAAAUUUAAAAAGAAUUUUACUUUUGUAAUCAUUUUAUAUAAUCAGAGUUAAAUUGACAGAAAGUAUAAAAAAUUGAGGAGUAAAAUUAUUAUUAUUAUACCAACUAAAAAGUGUCACUUAAUAGUCAGGUGACCAAAAAAGUUGUAAACUACAAAAAUAGUCACCCAACUAUUAAAUUUUCCAAUUUAGUUGCUAAAAUUUUUGAAAUUAAAUAUUUUAAUCACUCUCCCUUUAGUUUUCAUUAGAUGAGUGACGGAAAGCUGAUGUGGGUUUUUUUUUAUUGAUCUAAUAACAAAUUUAACCUCUAAUAUUUACACAUUCAAUCAAUUUGAUCCUAAAUAUAAAAAUUAAACAAAUUUAGCGCUUUUUACAAAAUUUGUCAUUUUAGUUCGAAUUCUGAAAAAAAAAUUCAAUAAAGCCUUUAGCAUUUACAAAAUUUGUCUAAUUCAAAUUCUAAAUUUUUAAUAAAAAUAAAAAUAUUUUUAAAAAAAUCAUUUUUUAACCCUUUUUACUCACCCUUUGAUUGUGGCACCCACUUAGAAUCUUCGAAGCUAAUAAGCUGAAACCUAAAUUGAAGUAAAAAAGUAAACUAAAAUUGGUGAAAUCACCUCAACUCAAAGAAGAAAAUAAUCGCUGACAUGGUAGCGCCACGCCAUCGCCCAUUGAUGACAUAUUAACCUUUGAGUUAAACUCAAAUUACUCUUUCUUUUGUUAUAAAUUAAGAGUAUAACGAAUUUUGAUAAGAAUGGUUACUUUUUAUUAACUCAGUUUAAAGGACUAUAACACGUAAAGUUUGGUCUAUUGCAGAAUUCACAUGCAAUGCGGGACAUUUACAUUAUGCAGAAUUCAACACAUAUAUGGGAAUUUUUGUAUUUCCACAAUUAUCAUGUUGUCAAUGAAGCUACGUACCUAAAAGCCAUUUAGGAUAUUAAUUCCUGUAAUUGGAUUAAUCUCAUCGUUGCUGCAAUCUUUUGACAGUGUAAUCGAAUCUUAAAUGUGUUACUCUGCAAUGCUGUUGUAAAUAUGACUCUUAAAUUUGUCGAUAGAUAUUUAGGUUUGGCACAAAAUUAAGAAUACACAAAGGCAGGUUGAAUUAUUCCAUGUUUGAACAUCUGCAACAUAAAUGCAUAAGGCAAAAGGGCUCAAACCAUACCUUAUGUUCAUGAAUUCUCAUCAUCACGUGUUUAUAAAUGCAACUCAAACUUGAAUAAUUGAAUCUUUUGUAAUUCUACAUGUAUUUUUUUUUAUGGUGCUCUAUUCACUCCCUUUAACUUAGCAACUAAGGUCUACCAAACAAGGCCACAUAUGACUUAGAAACAAAGACCAGAGGCAGUGGAAACAACAACAAGGCCAUAGCCAACCAACAAAUCACGACAAAGACCCAGAUUGGAUGUGGAAAAAUUUGUAUUUUCCACCAGACUGGAAAUUUUCUUUACACAAAGUUGGUUCUAAAUUAAAUUUAGAAAAAUAAAAGAGGUUUAAGGGUACAAAAAGAAACGUUUUCAAAAAUAGCAACUAAACCCCUGUUCUUUUUUUUUUUAACACUCAUUUGGGAACUUGAACUUUCAAAAUACAUCAAAAAGGCCCUCAAACAUUUUCAAAAAAAGCAAUUAAGCCCCUACUUUUAUUAAAAAUUAGAGAAAAAAUUAAAAUCAAUAAAAUCUAUAAUAUUAUUAAAUUUUAAUAAAAAUUCAAAUAUUAAAAAUUAUUAAAAAAUAUAUAAAAAUUGUAAAAUUUUAUAAAAAUUUAAAAAUUUAAAAAAUAUAUAGAAAUAUAAAAAAUUAUAAAAUUUUAUAAAGUCAUAAGAAAAUUAUACAAAUUGUAAAGAAAUAUAAAUUUGGUAAAAAAAAAUUUAUAAAAAUUAUUGUACCAAAAGAAAUUUUUUAUAAUUUUUCUAUAACUUUUAUUGAUUUUUACUUUUUUAUCUAUUUUCGCUACAUGUCACGUUGAGUUGCGACACAUAAUGACUUUAAUUGAAAAAACUAGAGGUCGUUAACUUUAACAAUCAAUAUUUAAAGUUAAUUGUUAAAAGGACUUUUGAUGGAUUUUUUUUUAUGAUUUUUAUAAUUUUUUAGUUUUGACUAUUUUUCUAAAAAAAUUCUAAUUUUUAAUAAGUUUUUAAAUUUUUAUUAAAAUUUAAUAUUUUUUUCUAAAAUUUAUUAUUUUUAUGAUUCUUUUUCUAAUUUUUAAUAAGAGUAGGGGCUUAAUUGCUUUUUUGAAAAAAAUUUAAGGCCUUUUUUAUGCAUUAUGAAAGUUCAAGUACCCAAAUUGAGUGGGGAAAAAAUAGAGGCUUAAUUGUUUCUUUGAAAAAAAAAUUAAGGUUUUUUUAUGCAUUAUGAAAGUUCAAGUACCCAAUUGAGUGGAAAAAAAAAGGGGGGUUUAAUUGCUUUUUUUGAAGAAGUGUAAAGAUAUUUUUGAUACAUUUUAAAAGUUUAAGUGCUCAAUUGAGUGUAAAAAAAAAAAAAGAGGGACUUAAAUUUUUUUUUAAAAAUUUUGAAGGGCUUUUACGCCCUUAAGCUAAUAAAAAAAACAUGUAUUAAUUUUGAUUACAAUUUCAAUAAUGAUUUCAAUAUAUCAUUAAUUUUGUGUUUAAAAAUGGUAUGUUUGAUUGUGAAAUGAUUCAUCAUCGUCCACCACAAACUAUCCAAGUUUGCAGUGUGAAAGCAGCUACUUCCAUAAAGAAAUUACUAAGGAGAUGGGAUCCACCAAUUUUGCCUAAACUCGCAUCAACAUUGUUUAGUGCUCCCUCAAUUUCACAUCAAUGCAUUCAAAUUGAAAAAUGAUUUAAUUUGAUAAAUUUGAAGUAAGGAUUUGAGUAGUGAAAUCUGAAAUAUUGAUGUAGUAACUAAAUUAUAUGAUCAUGAAAUAUGAAAAUUUAGAAAGUUGAGCAUAAAAUAGUAAAGUUUGAAACUAUAAGGGGUUAAAUUGUAAAGAUUUCAAAACUUGAGUUUUAGGACUAAUUUACAUUAUUCGAGAAUUUACAAUUUUGAACAAUAGAAUACGAAAGUUUAACUGUUCAAAAUCAAUGGCUAAUUUUUGAAAAUUUUGACAUGGUCUUGUUUCCUUCCUUGAUAUGUAUAGCUGUCAACCGAAGGUAAUCUACCAGCAUUGUGGAAAUUUGCAGAAUGCCAAAUUAUUUUCCACACGGAAGAAAUUGUGUUUAACUCGAGAAAAAGAUGAUGAGAUGAGCAUGAAGAUUAUUGAUCCACCAAUUAAUAAGCUGACAAAAUCUUGAAUGCAGAGAUUAUUGAGACUCAAAAAUCAAAGUCAUGAAAGAAGACAUAAUACUGCAUAAUGCAGUGAAAUAUAGAUGAAUGGUUACAAUAAUAAAGACAGAUGCAUGGCAAUGCAACCUUUCACCAUAGGAAAAAAAUUGAAAGACUUCAAAACAAGAAAUUAUGAAGAUACAACAUCAACACUUGAGCACCAUUUCCACUAACUAGAUCCUUCUUCGUCCAUUGCUGCGGCUGCCAUCCUUUGACUUUCGUCUUCACUUCUUCUCAUGUUGGAUUUCAACCAAAUUCACCAACCAUUUCGGCUUACCAGUUUGGAAAACAACAUAUCCCACGGACAUUCCGAACACCACUCCGCAUCCAUAACCUAUCAACACCACUUUCCAACCAAAAGUAAUGUUUGAUUUUGGGCCAUCUUUUUCAAGCACAUUUGGAGGUGCUGGCUCAAUGAUGUUGCAACCUUUCGAGACCGGAAAUCCACAUAAUCCCUUGUUUCCUUCAUAUGAAUCAUUUCCAAAUGUGUUGAACUGUUUGCCUUGAGGAAUCUGACCAUGGAGUUGAUUAUCAGAAACAUUGAAGGACGAAAGAAAUGGCAGAUCUGCCAAUCUAUUUGGAAUCGUCCGAGACAACCUGUUUGAAGAUAGGUCCAACCAUUCAAGCUUUGUCAAAUUCCCUAUUGAGGUGGGGAUACCACCAUUAAGGUUAUUAUGAGAAAGGUUGAGCCCUUUCAGUAAGUUAAGCUUCCCAAUAACCUUUGGAAUACCCCCUUCAAACUGAUAGUUUGAUAGAUCAAUGAUCAUCCACAUGGUGAAAAUUUUCACCAAUUCCAUAAAUUGUCCUUUCAUAACAAUUCCAAUGGAAUAGGUAUAGAAGCCACCUUGAGGAUCAUUCAUCCCCAUGUACGACAUUGUACUCCCAAUCUUCUCUAGAUUUAUGAUAGCCUUGAAGCUGUUGAUGUAUCUCACUGGUAGGGGUCCAGAAAAAUAAUUACUUGAGAGGUCAAAAAUUUGGAUUUUAGAGAAAAAAGGGCUAGACUUGGAGCUAUUGACACAUAAGGGACCAUGCAUAUGAUUUGACUUCAAUACAAGAACUUGUAGCUGUGGAAGACUUCCCAACCAAUGAGGAAAUGUAUCAUUGAUCUUGUUGUUACCAAGAUCUAGCACUUCCAGACCCUUACAAUUAAGGAUGGAUGGUGUCAAGGGCCCUUCUAACAGAUUUCCAUUUAAGUUGAAAUUAGUCAAUUGGCAUCCCUCUGCAAAUGUUGGAGGAAUCGUCCCAUAAAACUUGUUCUUCUUCAGAUUCAAGAAUUCAAGGCUGUUGCUCAAAUUUCCAAAACAUUGUGGAAUUGUUCCACUCAAGUUAUUGUGGGACAAAUCAAGAAUUUGAAGAGAACUGGCAUUGCAUAUUAAAGAAGAGACCUCUCCAUUGAAUCUAUUAUUUGAGAUCAGAAAGACAUUGAUUGUCGAAGCUGGAAUCGGAAGAUUUCCACGGAUCAAAUUGGAGCUUAAGUCAAGAAAUUCAAUAUUCUUCCAUGGAAAGUGCUCAACUUCUGUCAAAGAGUUGUGAGAUACGUUUAAGAAAGUCAAAGAGUCAUUCCCCAUCUCUUGCAUCCACUGUGGAAUCUUGCCUUCAAUAUUGUUGCAAGAGAGGUCUAAGCUUUCCAAACUUUUCAGCCCUUUUAAAAACUGGGGAAUUCACUAAGAUUGCAAGAUGACAAAAAUAAGUCUGUAAGAUUAACAGUAGAAGUAGUAUUAAAUGUUAAGGAUAGGCUGUUACAUGAAAGGUGGAGAUAUUUGAGAUUUGGAAGGUUUGAGAACAUGCUAAACUCUAUGACACCACUAAGGUUAUUUGAGGAUAAAGCAAGCGAUGUAAGAUUGAGAAGUUGGAAUAUUGAAGAUGGAAGAGGACCUUGGAGUUUAUUAUUCUCUAACCAUAUCCGUUCUAGUGAUUUGGAUUGGAAUUCUUUGAUAUGCCCACUGAAUUGAUUUUGAGAGAGAUAUAUUGUCUUUAAGGAGGGAGCAGUAUACAACCAUGACGGAAGUGUUCCGUUGAGUAAAUUGUCAGAUAAGCCUAAAUAUAUUAGGUUAGUAAAUUGUCAGAUAAGCCUAAGUAUUCAAGCUGCGUUAGGUUUAGAAUUGAUAAUGGAAUUUGUCCACUCAAUUGGAUCCCCGAUAAGUCUAAUUGAGUGAGCUGCAAGAGGUUCCCCAAUGAUCUUGGAAUUUGUCCACUCAAUUGGUUGCCUCCCAUGUAGAGGAGAUUGAGGUUUGGCAAAUCAAAAAUGUUUUUUGGGAAUUUUCCUUGCAAACCACAACCAGCAAGACUGAGAGACCUUAGAGAAGAGGAUAGAUUCAUGAAGACAUGAGCAUUAACAGAAGACAUGUCCAUUCCAUCCAAAAACAGAUGUCUGACCUCGGUUAGGUUGUGAACAAGUCCCUCCAGAGCAUGUUUGUCCAUUCUAUAUUGCAUAGAGAAAGCAGGCCAAGAGGAGAGAUCGAGUAAAACCAAUUUUGACAGGUGGGAGACUUGGGAUGGGACUUCUCCUACAAACCCUGUAUAAGAAAGGUUGAGGUAGAAUAGGCUUGUAAACUGACCGAAAUCGGAUGGAAUUUUGGAAAGAUUAAAAUCAUUGCCGGCAAGGUUGAGUUUUUGAAGGUGAGGAAGAAGGAAGAGAGUGGUAUUGGAAGGGAAGGUGCCAUAUAGGCAACUGCAGCUCAAGUCAAGGGCAAUAACAUGAGCAUUUAGGUGGUCACAAGUGACCCCAUCCCAUGAGCAGCAAUCUGUACCCUCCUUCCAUGAAUUUGUCUUGGGAUAAGAUUUAGGGCCGCAAGACGAAUAAGCAGCCUCUGUUAUGGAAAAAGAGUUCUUGAACUGGAUUAGUAAAGAGCAGGAGUGAGAUCCUGAAGAAGAAAAAGAAGCAUAAAGAUGGGGAAAGAAGAGGAAUAGGCAGAGAAAGAGACAGGGGGCCAUGUUAUGUUGGUAGAGGAAGAUGAAGGAUAGGAAUGGUAUUUAUAGGCAACAAAUAAUACCACAACAUUGGUGUUAGUCUUUUUUUUCUUUAACAUUGAAAAGUUAUGGAUGCUUUUACCAUAUAUUUUUCAUUCUCAAAAUUGGAUGCUUUUUCUUUUAUUUCAUAAAAACGUGUAUACUUUUAUAUGCUUUUUGUUUUAGCAAAAUUUUGUAUUUCAUAAAAAUGUGUAUACUUAUAUAUAUAUAUAUAGCCUCAUAAUUCAAAUCUAAAAUCUCAUUUGUUAUAAAUUUUGAUAAAUCAAAGGGUGAUAAAUUAGGCCCGUUUAAAAUAUGAGCUGGGUUUAGGCUUGAACAUUCAAAGCUCGAGCCCAGCCCGGCCCAUUUUUAAGUGUAUAAUACUUUAUAUUUUAUAAUUUAGAACAGAUUAAAAAAAUAAACUUAUAUUAAAUAUAUAAUAAUACUAUAAUGUAAACAUUAAAAUAAUGUUAAGAUGACUAUAUAAAAAUUUUCAAUAAAUAAAAAAUAUUUAAAUUAUUAAAUAUUAAAAUAAUAUAAUAUAAAUAUUUAAAAAAAAACUAAAAAUUAUAUGGGCAUGCCUAAAAUGAGCUUGGGUUAGUCUUUUGCAAAUAUGGAUGAGUUUAGGCAAAAUUUUAAGCUCAUAUUUUGGGCCGAGCCGAGCUUGAGCAAGCAUAAAGUACGUUAAUAUCAUGCUUAGGCCUGACCUGGCCAGGCUCAUGAGCACCUCUAUAGUUGAGUGACUAGAAUAGAACUAAAGGAAUAGUUUAGUGAUUAUUUUUGUAAUUGACCCAUAUGAAAUUUAGGUUAAUUUCUGCUAUUAGUCCUUAUACUUUGCAAAAGUUGUGGACUUAAUCUUUAUACUUUAAUUUGGUCAUUUUUAGUUCAUCUACUUUUCAAAUUUUAAAAUUUUAGUCAUCACCAAACAAUAACCGUUAAAUUUAUUAAGUUUUGUUAUUUUCAAAAAAUGAUGCGACAAAUAUAUUAGGCUUAACUCAUAAAUCGGUAUCUAAAUUAUACUCAUUUUCCCAUGUUGGUACCUAAACUUAUUUUUGGUCACAAGUGGUACAUAAACUACUUUUUUUCCCAAGUUACUACUGCCAUUAGUCAAAAGUCUAUUUUAGAAAUAGGCUUAACCCAUAAAUUGGUACCUAGACUAAAAUUUGGUACCUCCGUCAUUAGUCAAACCGUUCAGUUUAUAUGAAAAAAAAAUUAACCAAUUAAAAAUUGACAUGUAGUAAAAAAAACUAUUAUUAUUUAUAUAAAUAUAAAUGGAGAGAACUAGUUCAACCGAUUUGUUUUUGUUCGCAAGUCAAUCGAUUCAAACCCUAUUUCCGGACCGAUUUCCUAUCCAACUAGUUGAAUCAAUCUGUUUUUGAAAACACUAGUUUCCCUCAGGUCAGAGAAGUAGGUGGUGAAAUUCAAAACCAAAAUUAAUCACCAACGUUUCGACCUCAAGUGGGCCAAUUUCAAACAUUAUCGGCAUUGUCAAACAUUAUAAAGGAAUAAGAAAGAAAAAUAUAAAAAAUUAAUUAAUUAAUAAUUAUUUUUAAAAGUUUAUAUGACAUACAAUCUAUUAUUUGUUGAAAUCUUUUUAGCCGAUAUAACAUUUUGGUGUAAAAUGAGUAAUGGAAGAAUAGUUUUAGUAAUACUUAUGGCCAAAAUAAAAAUUAGGUACCUUGGGAAAAGGAGCAUUGUUUAGGUAUUAAUUAUUAUUAAUAUUAUUUGAAUCAAGACUAAAAUUUCAAAUUUCAAAAAGUAAAUGGUUUAAAAUUGACCAAUUCAAAAAAUACAAUGACUAAAAUUGAUCAAAUUAAGGUAUAAGGACUAAAUCCAUCAUUUUCGUAAAGUACAGAGACUAAUAGCAGAAUUUAACCUAAAUUUUAAUAUAAAUAAAAUCCAAAGUAGAAUAUAUUUUUUGAUAACUACAAUACAUUUAUGAGCAAGGAAAAAAGGAAGACUUACAAAGAUAAACACAGUAAGAAUGAAAAGAAUAUGGGGAUAAUUUACACAAAUUCCUUCAAAAACCAUAGCUUUUGGAGGUGAAAUUUAAUCAAAGGAAGAAUGAAAGCUCAGGUUUGGGAGUAAAUGAUAACAUACUUUCACCAAAAAGUUCAAAUAAUGAUGCUAACAAGUUCCCCGGGUCUGUGUCUUCCUUCCAAGCCUGAGCUAGAACGGUUGAUGUCUUUGAAACUCGACCCCCAACCUCCCUUCCUAGCAUGUUUUCGUUUGAUAACGGCCGUGACAUUGAUGAUACACCGAUAUUGGAACCUCCUACGGUGGUAGAAAAGCCGCUAACUGCCCCUUGUAAAUCAGUUUGAAUGGAAUUUAUUGGCAUCAUACCUAUUGCACUCUCAGUUGCUAUUUUCUUCGCAGGUGGUUGCUGCUGCAUCAAGGUGUCCGUGCUUGCUUUUCGUUUAUCUUGAUUGAUCAGAAAAAGGAAUAUCGUAAAGGGGGAGAAGAGACUUGUGGAUUAAGUGUAAAUAUGAUGGUUCGAAGAAAUCAUACUUGUCGCAACUUUGUUGUUGCUUUUCCAGAUGGGACGAGUUGGGGGUGCUAGAAAACUGGGGAACAUUUUAAGCCGAUCAUACAUGCACAGUCCAGCUGCACGCUGUUAGUGGAAAUUUUAUGCAGUGUUGUUAGUUCUACAGCAAAUAAAUGAAACGAUGCUCAUAAACUGGUACCAAAUUUGAUGUUAAACUUACCAGCAGGGCCCCAUAAACACACCAGGCCUCGUGUCUUUUUAUUUCAGGUUCAAGAAGCUGCAAAUACGCUUCAAAGCAAACAUGAGAGGGAAAUUAUUCAAAUUCCGUGCAACCUGAGAUAAAUGUGGCAAAAAUGUAAGCUUGAGAUAACCAACCAAAAGUUCUUUGCAACACACAUAUAUAAUGAGGUAUCAAAGAUCUUUAAGACAACCUCAUCCGCAAUGAAAUAUGUAAAAUAAGGAACUAAAGGAUGUAAUCCCGAGUCUGUUGCCAAACUCAGUAAUGCUUGUUUAAAGAGAACUGAGACUGAUUUAUUCAUGGUAAUGUCCACGAUCUUGUCAAAGUAAAGCUGCAUGACAACCAAAUUAGUCUUUUAAUAACAUUCUGUGCAAAAUGUAUUUUAACAUAAAAAUGUUGCUGAAGAUGUACAACAUACUUGAAGCUCUCUAGAUAAUACAUGCUUAACAGGUAAUUUGACAUCAACGGAAAGCCCAUCUUCUUUGUAUUCAGCCUUUUUACCAUCAGAAGGUGCUGCAUGGAAAGCAAACUACCAAUUCCAUGUAGAAAUGAAGAUAAGUCGUAUUAGAUUAAAGUGAUAAAACCAGAAAAGAACAUGAACCAUGAGAGUAUUCAACACAAAUAGCUUCGAGAAAAUAUUUAGGUUAGCUAAGACGGUACCUUCAAUUGAAGCAUUUUCGGGAAUUGCUGGUUGAAUGCCUUCAAUCGCAAGCCAGUGGGAUGUAACAGAUGUAUCAAGUGGUGCUUUUGGUAAAGGUGACUCAAGAACCUACAUACAUAAGGCAACAUAGGAAUUUAAGUGAAGACUUAUUUAAUAAGGCAACAUACAACAGAACCUCGAAUAUUGUUGAUCAGUUCUUACUUCUUUAAACUCCACAUCUUUGUCAUCAAUGUAGAACAAAUCAUUAUGCUUCUUGAAUCGUAGUGCAUCACGAGAGGCAAAUCCACAUAUCGGCUGAUGCCAGAGAAACACAUAACACAAGCCAAUUAACCAAAAUGCAAAAUCUAAAGCAGCAGGUUAAACUUACUACGAUUGGAUUGCAUCAUUUUAACCAGCGUUUUUGGAUUGCAUCAUUUCGAGUUUUGUCGUUCGGGUUUGACAAUUAAUUCAAAUCAUUUUAAGAUCAUGUCAUUUUGGAUUCAAAUUAUCACUUCUUUAUAAUCAAAUCGAGUUGCGUUAAGUUUAAAUUCAAAUUAAUUCAGUUUUACUACUUACUAAAACUUAUGUUUCUCAAAAUAAUUUUUUCAAAUUAAAAUUUAUUAAUUAUUUAAAUUAAGAUGUUAUUUUUUUAUUCUUUAUAUAUGUUUUACAAUUCGUGUUCAAGAUCGGUGGAUACCGCACACAACAUUAUUAUCUCCAACGUCUGAAUACGCAUUAUCUCCUUGAGAAUGUAAUAUGAUUUGCCACUACGCCAAACACUUGUUGGUAUCUAAAAUGGAUAAAAACACAUUUCUCGUCCCUCUCAAUUUCUAUAUUGAACAAAUUGAUUCCUCUCAGAAAAUUAGAGCAAUUUAAUCAUUAUCAAUUUUGAAUGGGAGCAACUAAGAACAAUUAAUCAUUGUGUUAAUACUUUCUGUAAAUUGUAUAUAUUUUUUAUUGAUAUAAUAACAAAAUAAGCUCUCGAUGUUUAUAUAUUAUAUGUAAAUGUUAAUAGAAUAUGUAAUUGUUGCGGGAUAAAUUUGUUAAAUCAAGAUCAAAUUAACAGAAUAUGUAAACAAGUUUAUAAACUUGUUAUUAUACCAAUAAAAAUAUGUACAAUUGAUGGAAAAUAUUGACAUUGUGAUUAAUUGUUCUUAGUUGCUCACUUUCGAAAUUAACAAAGAUUAAAUUGCUUUAAUUUUUUUUAAAAUGGACCAAUUUACUUAAUAUCAAAAUUGAGAGGGACUAAAGAGGGUUUUUACCAUCUAAAAUGUUAUCUAAUACAAGAAAAACUUAACAACUAUUUUUUAAUUAUGAAAAGGUAAACUACAUAAUUAGCCACUGAACUAUGGGUAAAUCUUCGUUUUGGUCACUUAACGAAAAAAGUUACAAUUUGGUCACCCUAUUGUUAAAUGACACUUUGUAGUUGCUAUAAUAACAAUUCUAGUAUUUUGUUUUUAUAAUUUUUUUUGCCAAUUUAAAAAAUAUAAACUUCUGUAUAAAAAUUAUAAAAAAAACUCAAAAUUAUUUUUAAAAAAUAUAAACUUCUAUAUAAAAAUUCUAGAAAAAUAAAAUCUCGAAUAUGUUGUUGUUGAAGAACUAAUAUGUAUGGGAAAUAAAAAAAAUUAUCAUUCAAUAGAAUCCCAUAACAAAUUAAAAACAGAACAAAACAAAAAAAAGGUUAGAUCAUUAUACGCUUCCUCAAUGUUUUUUGCAACCAAAUUAGUAAAAUUUUCAAGUUGAGUUUCAUGCCCUUGAAGAACAUCCGUAACUAUAUUACAAAAGCUUACAAAAUCAACUUUGAUGCCAUUUUUCUAGCAAAAAUAUAAAAUAUACCACAAAAUUUUCUUUUUCAAACUCAAUUCGAAUUUUCAAUUCAUUUAAAUUUAUUUUUAAAAACCCAAAUUAUAAAAGCAGAUUAUAUACAGAUAAUUUUACUUAAUCUUUUUUUUUUUUACUUUUUUCUAUGUUUUCUAAAAGAAUGGAUAUUAGAUAUUUCUUUACAAAUAAUACAAAGAAAAUUUGGAGGGUUUAAAAAUAAUAUUUCCCUCAUUUUCUCUCACUUUAUUUAUAUUUGAAAUUUUUAUCUACUUUCAUUUAAUUUUUAAUUUUUAGAAUUUUGUAAAAUUUAAAAAGAAUUUCACUUUUGUAAUCAUUUUAUAUAAUUAGAGUUAAAUUGACAGAAAGUAUAAAAAUUGAGGAUAAAAAUUAUUAUUAUACCAACUAAAAAGUGUCACUUAAUAGUCAGGUGACCAAAAAAGUUGUAAACUAUAAAAAUAGUCACCCAACUAUUAAAAUUUCCAAUUUAGUUGCUAAACUUUUUGAAAUUAAAUAUUUUAAUCACUUUCCCUUUAGUUGUCGUUAGAUGAGUGACGGAAAGCUGAUGUGGGUUUUUUUUAAUUGAUUUAAUAACAAAUUUAACCUCUAAUAUUUACCAAUGCAACUUUUCACCAUAGGAAAAACUUUCUAACAGACUACUAAACAAGAAAUUAUGAAGACACAGCAGAAAUGCUUUAACUUCAUUUGAACCAACUAGAUCCUUCUUCAUCCAUUGAUGCGAUUGCUAUAUUUCGGCUUUCUUCUUCGCCUCUUCUCAUGUUGGUCUUCAGCCAAAUUCACGAACCUUUUCGCCUUACCGGUUUGGAAAACAACACAUCCCAUGGCCAUUCCACAUGUUGGAAAAGGAUUACCCCUACCGUUAUAUUUUGUCUUCUCUCAUCAAUGAUAUUGCGAUACCCAAAGUUUGGUAUCGCGAUAUCUACAACAGUCUUGGGGAUCCUUGGGAGUUUUGGGUAUCGCGAUAUCUUAUGACCGGUAUCACGACAACACUGUUGAUGGCUCAAUCUUCCUUGUUUUUAACAUUGUUAUGGGUAUUACGACUUUCAUGCUUUGAUCUGCGAUACCCUCUUUCUAGGUAACAUUUUCGCUCCUUCCAGGCCACCAUGGGCUCUCUGCAUCACUCAUCAACCUCAUUAGAUUCCCGGAGUGCCAUUUGGCCAUCUUAGGUCUUAAAAUAGCAUCAAAAUGCACACUAAUCAUUUAUUAAUAUAAAGAACUAAAACAAAAUAAAAACGCAACAAAGAUAUCUAAAUUGCUCGAAAAUAAACUUUUAAGUGUGAUGGAGAGCCUAAUUUGACAUAUCAAUUUAUAGCAAAUCAUAAACAUUAUUUGCGGAACUUGUUAAAAUUUCAGAUUUCUUUAUUAGUUUUCUUUCAAUAUUUUGUACGGUUCAUUUGUAGUAAUAUAUUGUGCAGAUCAUAGGCUAAAUUGCUUUAUUAGUUUUCUAUUGUUGAUCUUUAUUAUUAUUAUUAUUAUUAUUAACACUACUUCCUUUUUACCAUAUAAUUUUUAUUCAUAAAAAUGAAGAGUUGAUUUACCCAAAAUUUGUAUUUCAUUUGAACUCCCUAAAGAAUGAAGAACUGAAAUAAUUAGAAAUUAUUUUGACUUGCUCUUGCUUCCUUUCUAUGUAUGAAUGUGGAAAUUGGCAUAAUGCCAACUUAUUUUCCACGCAGAAGAAGAAAAUGGUGCUCUAUUCACUCCCUUUAACUCAGCAACUUUGUAAUCAUUCUAUAUAAUCAGAGUCAAAUUGACAAAAAUUAGUAUAAAAAUUGAGGAAUCAAAUUAUUAUUAUGCCAACUAAAAAGUGUCACUUAAUAGUCAGGUCACCAAAAAUGUUGUAAACUAUAAAAAUAGUCACCCAACUAUUAAAUUUUCCAAUUUAGUUGCUAAACUUUUUGAAAUUAAAUAUUUUAAUCACUCUCCCUUUAGUUGUCGUUAGAUGAGUGACGGAAAGCUGAUGUGGGUUUUUUUAUUGAUCUAAUAACAAAUUUAACCUCUAAUAUUUACACAUAGGAAAAAAAUUGAAAGACUUCAAAACAAGAAAUUAUGAAGAUACAACAUCAGCACUUGAACAUCAUUUCCACUAACUAGAUCCUUCUUCGUCCAUUGCUGCGACUGCCAUCCUUUGACUUUCUUCUUCGCUUCUUCUCAUGUUGGAUUUCAACCAAAUUCACCAACCAUUUCGGCUUACCAGUUUGGAAAACAACAUAUCCCACGGACAUUCCCAACACCACUCCGCAUCCAUAACCUAUCAACACCACUUUCCAACCAAAAGUAAUGUUUGAUUUUGAGCCAUCUUUUUCAAGCACAUUUGGAGGUGCUGGCUCAAUGAUGUUGCAACCUUUCGAGACCGGAAAUCCACAUAAUCCCCUGUUCCCUUCAUAUGAAUCAUUUCCAAAUGUGUUGAACUGUUUGCCUUGAGGAAUCUGACCAUGGAGUUGAUUUUCAGAAACAUUGAAGGACGAAAGAAAUGGCAGAUCUGCCAAUCUAAUUGGAAUCGUCCCAGACAACCUGUUUGAAGAUAGGUCCAACCAUUCAAGAUUUGUCAAAUUCCCUAUUGAGGUGGGGAUACCACCAUUAAGGUUAUUAUGAGAAAGGUUGAGCCCUUUCAGUAAGUUAAGCUUCCCAAUAACCUUUGGAAUACCCCCUUCAAACUGAUUGUUUGAUAGAUCAAUGAUCAUCCACAUGGUGAAAAUUUUCACCAAUUCCAUAUCUUGUCCUUUCAUAACAAUUCCAAUGGAAUAGGUAUAGAAGCCACUACCUCGAGGAUCAUUCACCCCCAUGUACGACACUGUACUACCAAUCUUCUCUAGAUUUAUGAUAGCCUUGAAGCUGUUGAUGUAUCUCACAGGUAGGGGUCCAGAAAAAUAAUUACUCGAGAGAUCAAAAAUUUGGAUUUUAGAGAAAAAAAGGCUAGACUUGGAGCUAUUGACACAUAAGGAACCAUGCAUAUGAUUUGACUUCAAUACAAGAACUUGCAAAAAUGGAAGACUUCCCAACCAAUGAGGAAAUGUAUCAUUGAUCUUGUUGUUACCAAGAUCUAGCACUUCCAGACCAAUACAAUUAAGGAUGGAUGGUGUCAAAGGCCCUUCUAACAGAUUUCCGUUUAAGUUGAAAUUAGUCAACUGGCAUCCCUCUGCAAAUGUUGGAGGAAUCGUCCCAUAAAACUUGUUCUUCUUCAGAUUCAAGAUUUCAAGGCUGUUGCUCAAAUUUCCAAAACAUUGCGGAAUUGUUCCACUCAAGUUAUUGUGGGACAAAUCAAGAAUUCCAAGACAUUGCGGAAUUGUUCCACUCAAGUUAUUGUGGGACAAAUCAAGAAUUCCAAGAGAAGUGACAUUGCAGAUUAAAGAAGAGACCUCUCCAUUGAAACUAUUAUUUGAGAUUAGAAAGACAUUGAUGGUCGAAGCUGGAAUCGGAAGAUUUCCACGGAUCAAAUUGGAGCUUAAGUCAAGAAAUUCAAUAUUCUUCCAUUGAAAGUGCUCAACUUCUGUCAAAGAGUUGUGGGAUACAUUUAAGUAAGUCAAAGAGCCAUUUCCCACCUCUUGCAUCCACUGUGGAAUCUUGCCUUCAAUUUUGUUGCAAGAGAGGUCUAACCAUUUCAAACUUUUAAGCCCCUUUAAAAAUUGGGGGAAUUCACUAAGAUUGCAAGAUGACAAAAAUAAGCUUGUAAGAUUAACAGUAGAAGUAGUAUUAGAUGUUAAGGAUAGGCUGUUAUAUGAAAGGUCAAGAUCUUCGAGAUUUGGAAGGUUUGAGAACAUGCGAAACUCUAUGACACCACUAAGAUUAUUUGAGGAUAAGCUGAGAAGGGUAAGAUUGAGAAGUUGGAAUAUUGAAGAUGGAAGAGGACCUUGGAGUUUAUUAUUGUCUAGAUAUAAAUAUUCUAGUGAUUUGGAUUGGAAUUCUUUGAUAAGCCCACUGAAUUGAUUUUGAGAGAGAUAUAUUCUCUUUAAGGAGGGAGCAGUAUGGAACCAUGACGGAGGUGUUCCAUUGAGUAAAUUGUUAGUUAAGUCUAAAUAUAUUAGAUUAGGAAAAGCGGUUACCUCAUCUGGAAUGGAACCGUUUAAUGAAUUUUCAGAUAUUCUCAAGCUUUCCAACUGCGUUAGGUUUAGAAUUGACGAUGGAAUUUGUCCACUCAAUUGGUUCUGCGACAAGUCUAAAAGAGUGAGUUGCAAGUGGUUCCCCAAUGAUCUUGGAAUUUGUCCACUCAAUUGGUUCCCCGACAAGUCUAAAUGAGUGAGUUGCAAGAGGUUCCCCAGUGAUCUUGGAACCGUUCCUGAUAAGUUGGAAUUGGAGAGAUCUAAAAACUUCAAUGACACAAGAUUCCCCAUCGAGUCAGGCAAUCCUCCAAAAAAAUUUGCGCCUCCAGUAAACAAGUACCCCGAUUUUCUGAUUGAGACAGAAGAAAAAAAACUUCCUGAUAGAUCUAAGUACUUUAAGGCCUGUAGAUUAUCAACUGAAUCAAUGAAUUCUGUAGAGAAGGGCAUGAACGACAGAUCCAAAUGUUCAAGAUUGCUGCUCCGAUUCAACUUCAAAGGAUCAAGACUGAGGAUUGGGUUGCUUCCCAAGUUGAGGAGAUUGAGGUUUGGCAAUGUUUUUUGGGAAUUUUCCUUGCAAAUCACAAUUAGCAAGACUUAGAGACCUUAGAGAAGAGGAUAGAUUCCUGAAGACAUGAGCAUUAACAGAAGACAUGUCCAUUCCAUCCAAAAACAGAUGUCUGACCUCGGUUAGGUUGUGAACAAGUCCUCUCAGAGCAUGUUUCUCAAUUGUAAAUUGCUCAUGGCCAUUAAUCAAAGAGAGAUCAAGUGAAACCAAUUUUGACAGGUGGGAGACUUGGGAUGGGAGUUCUCCUGCAAACCCUGUACGAGAAAGGUUGAGGUAGAAUAGGCUUGUAAACCGACCGAACUCGGAUGGAAAUUUGGAAAGAUUAAAAUCAUUGUAGGCAAGGUUGAGUUUUUGAAGGUGAGGAAGAAGGAAGAGAGUGGUAUUGGAAGGGAAGUUGCCAUAUAGGCAACUGCAGCUCAAGUCAAGGGCAAUAACAUGAGCAUUUAGGUGGUCACAAGUGACCCCAUCCCAUGAGCAGCAAUCUGUACCCUCCUUCCAUGAAUUGGUCUUGGGAUAAGAUUUAGGGCCAUCAAAACUACCGCAAUCAAAAAAAGUAGCCUCUGUUAUGGAAAAAGAGUCCUUAAACUGGAUUAGUGAAGAGCAGGAGUGAGAUCCUGAAGAAGAAAAAGAAGCAUAAAGAUGGGGAAAGAAGAGGAAGAGGCAGAGAAAGAGAUAGGGGGCCAUGUUAUGUUGGUAGAGGAAGAUGAAGGAUAGGAAUGGUAUAUAUAGGCAACAAAUAAUACCACAACAUUGGUGUUACAGUCUUUUUCUCUUUUACAUUGAAAAGUUACGGAUAUUAGAUUUUCAAAAUUUUUGUAUUUAUCAACAACCACUUAGUCUUCCUUUUACCAUUUAUUUUUCAUUCUUAAAAUUGGAUGCUUUUUCUUUUAGCAAAAUCUUGUAUUUCAUUAAAAUGUGUAUACUCAUAAUUAAAAUCUAAAAUCUCAUUUGUUAUAAAUUCUGAUAAAUUUAUUUGGGAAUAAUUAUUUUUCUUUCGUUAAUUAUUUCUCUUUUAAUCAAGUAAAAAUUAAAAAUUAAAAAGACAUAAUGAUUUAUUUAGCAUUUUUUAACUUUACAAACGAAAAGUCAUUUUAACUUCUCAUUUUUUUUUAUCUCUUUUAGCUUUAAAACAAAAAGACAUAAUGAUAUAUUUUGAUUUUUGCUCAUCUAAAAAAUCAAAGGGUGAGAGAGGGGAUUAAAAAUAUUUUUUAAAUAUAUAUUAAAAUUUUUAGAAUUAGAACUAAAUUGCUAAUUUUUGAAAAUAUUAAGGGUUAAAUUUAUUAAUUUUUUUAGAAUUUGAACUAAAAUGACAGGUUUUGUUAACAUUUAGGGCUAAAUUUGUUGAUUUUUUUUAUAUCUAGGAUCAAAUUGAUAGAAUAUGUAAACAUUGGAGGGCUAAAUUUGUUAUUAGACUAAUAAAAAAAGCCCACAUCAGCUUUCCGUCACUCAUUUAACAACCUAAUAGGAGAGUGACUAAAAUAUUUACUUUCGAAAAGGUUAACAACUAAAUCGAAAAAAUUAAUAGUUGAGUAAACUUGUUCAUGAGUUGGGCUACUUGCCAAGGCCCAAGUGCCGUCCGAAAUUUGGGAGGGUCUGGAUAAAAAUAUUAGGCCCGAAAAUUGAGUUUGGGUAAAACAUUAGGCCCGUUUAAAAUAUGGGCUAAGUUCAGGCUUGAACAUUCAAAGCCUGAGCCCAGCCCGGCCCGUUUUUAAGUGUAUAAUACUUUAUAUUAUAUAAUUUAGAACAGAUUAAAAAAAUAAACUUAUACUAAAUAGAUAAUAAUACUAUAAUGUAAACAUUAAAAUAAUGUUAAAAUGACUAUAUAAAAAUUUUUAAUAAAUAAAAAAUGUUUAAAUUAUUAAAUAUUAAAAUAACAUAAUAUAAAUAUUUUAAAAAAAACUAAAAAUUAUAUGGGCAUGCCUAAAAUGAGCUUGGGUUAGUCUUUUGCAAAUAUGGAUGAGUUUAGGUGAAAUUUUAAGCUCAUAUUUCGGGCCGAGCUAAGCUUGAGCAAGCAUAAAGUACGUUAAUAUCAUGCUUAGGCCUGACCUGGUCCAGCUCAUGAGCAUCUCUAUAGUUGAGUGACUAGAAUAGAACCAAAGGAAUAGUUUAGUGAUUAUUUUUGUAAUUGACCCAUAUGAAAUUUAGGUUAAUUUCUGCUAUUAGUCCUCGCACUUUGCAAAAGUUGUGGACUUAAUCUUCAUACUUUAAUUUGGUCAUUUUUAGUGGAGAUCAAAAUGGUAUAAUACCGACAGUGGGAACCUUACAACAUUUGAAAAAGUUAUGCCUAAUUGUGUAGUAAACAACACUUUAAAAAUGUAGUCCCUAUAUUCAAACUUAUGCCGUAAAAGUUGAAUAAUAGUAUCUAAGAAACAAAUUUUCCACCAGACUGGAAAUUUUGUAUUGCUUGGAAUUAAUUGACUCUCAUCUUCUGUUACUAGCUUCAAAAAUAUUGUAUUGCUUUAAAUUCAAACAAGAAAUAGGGGAAAUUUUUACAUGGAAACAAAUUUUGCUAUUUAAAUUUCCCAAUUCUUUACUCAAAGUUGGUUCUAAAUUAAAUUUAGAAAAAGAAAAGAGGUUUAAGGGUGCAAAAAGCCCUCAAACUUUUUCAAAACUAGCAACUAAACCCCUGCUCUUAUAUAAAAAUUGUAAAAAAAAUUGUAAAAUUAUUUAAAAAUUAAUAAAAAAUUAAAAAAAUUAAAAAUUAUUAAAAAUAUAUAAAAAUUGUAAAAUUUUAUAAAAAAUUGUAAAAUUUUAUAAAAAAGUUUAAAAAAUUUUAAAAUAUAUAGAAAUAUAAAAUUUUAUAAAAUCAUAAGAAAAUUAUACAAAAUGUAAAAAAAUAAAUUUGUAAAAAAAUUAUAAAAAUUAUUGUACCAAAAGAAAUAUUUUAUAAUUUUUCCAUAACUUUUAUUGAUUUUUACUUUUUAUCUGUUUUCACUACAUGUCACGAUGAGUUGCGACACAUAAUGACUUUAAUUGAAAAAACUAGAGGUCGUUAACUUUAACGAUCAAUAGUUAAAGUUAAUCGUUAAAAGGACUUUUUGAUGGAUUUUAUAUAUUUUUAUGAUUUUUAUAAAAUUUUAUAAUUUUUUUUAUUUUUUGACGAUUUUUCUAAAAAAAUUUCUAAUUUUAAUAAGUUUUUAAAUUUGUAUUAAAAUUUAAUAAUUUUUCUAAAAUUUUUUAUUUUUAUGAUUUUUUUUCUAAUUUUUAAUAAGAGCAGGGGCUUAAUUGCUUUUUUGAAAAAAAUUUAAGGCCUUUUUGAUGCAUUAUGAAAGUUCAAGUACCCAAUUGAGUGGGAAAAAACUAAAGGCUUAAUUGUUUCUUUGAAAAAAAAAAUUAAGGUCUUUUUGAUGCAUUAUGAAAGUUCAAGUACCCAAUUGAGCAGAAAAAGUUAGGGAUUUAAUUGCUUUUCCGCUGGAAAUUAAGUUCUAAUCUUUUCCGCAUUCAACCUAAAAGCAAAGCAUAUCGAAAAUUGGAUCAUGUAAAAAAAAAAAGUAGCCACACACAUUGGUCAAACAUAGGCAUGCUUAAUGAUCCACACGUAAUUAAUCUAUGUAUUCUGCAUAUAACAUGCAUGCUCGCACCAUUUGUUUUGCAUGUGUGAAAUAGCAUGAAAAUGAUAUACACUUGAUUUGAAGAAUAGAUCCAAGUUUAUAACUAAAAAAUCAGACAUCUGAAAUUCAUAAAAACGAAUAUGCAUGUAUAAGUCCAAAAGAAAAGAAAUCUUCACCUUUUGCAUAUUGAUGCCACUAGCUUUGCUGCGAAGUUUCUAAGUUCCCAAUGAUUGUCGGUGAAUUUAUUUCCUAACCUUUUUGCAACGAGGCAGGUAAUAAUAGAAGGCAUCAACUGGUGUAACUGAAGAACAUUUUAAAAAAUCAGAUAGGUGGAAAAUAAACCACUAGCAUAUUUGCGUUAGUUCGUGUACUUCUAAAUCAUUGAAAUAAUAAACUCACAUAAGGUUCUAUGAGUAAGUGUUCAUUCUGGAGAAGACUCCGGGCAACACGCAUCAAAGCAAACAUGUGGCAAAAAUGUAAGCUUGAGAUAACCAACCAAAAGUUCUUUGCAACAGACAUAUAUAAUGAGGUAUGAAAGAUCUUUAAGACAACCUCAUCCGCAAUGAAAUAUGUAAAAUAAGGAACUAAAGGAUGUGAUCCUUUUUUAUGCAUUAUGAAAGUUCAAGUACCCAAUUGAGCAGAAAAAAAUAGGGAUUUAAUUGCUUUUUUUAAGAAGUGUAAAGAUAUUUUUGAUACAUUUUAAAAGUUUAAAUGCUCAAUUAAGUGUAAAAAAAAAAAGAGGGACUUAAAUUUUUAUUUUUAUUUUUGAAAAUUUUGAAGGGUUUUUAUGCCCUUAAGCUAAUAAAAAGAACAUGUAUUAAUUUUGAUUAUAAUUUCAAUAAUGAUUUCAAUAUAUCGUUAAUUUUAAAAAAAAGGAAAUGCAACUUAGUUUUUUUAAAAAAAAUUAAAGAACAUGGACAACUUGAUGAUUAAAUAAAAAAAAUGUAAAGCCAAAAAUCUAGAUUAGAAUUGUAUUCAAAAUAAUAAAUAGAAUGCAUGUGUGCAAAAAGAACUCCAUUAGUAAUGUCGAAUUUCAAAGACAAAGGAGGAUGCUGUUUUUGUCGUGACAUAACAUAAAUAGUUGACUACGUGGGUGGCCACAUACAAUGCUUCAAAGGUUAAGAUAUAAUGGAAAACAAACUUUUCUUGUCGUCAAUGGUCAAUGUUAUGACCGAACAAAGUUUGGUCAAUUUCAAAGGUUAUAUUUGUCGUUUGGUAGACGAGGUGGGCGUUGCCACUGUGAAUAAUAAUAAUAAUAUCCAUACACUACAAUCCCCACCUUUGGGCCAAAAUAAUAAAACCCAAUUAAUAUGAAAGGGAGAGUUCAUACCCACUAAAAGAACACACUCCCUAUAAACCACCUCUAAUCCUGCUAAUAGUACAAUUUAACUGCACCUCCUUGGUAGUAAAAAAGUACGAAGCACAGAAUGAAAGCCCUAUGUUUCCACAUAAGUUCACACGACACGACAAUAACGAGUAGUGGAUAGUUAAUAUAAAUAAGCAGGAGGCCCCAGUUCUCAAUUGCAGACUGCAAUGCAGUGCAAUAGUUGUCACAUCUCAAACCCCUUCUUCCUCUUCUUCUUCUUCUGACACAUCACUCUCCACCAAUCCCAGAUGAUUUGGCUUUUGCCUUGUCUGAUUUGGAACCCAGUUCUCAAUUGGGUUUUUUUGGCUGCUAAGGGAAGUUGCCAUAUAGCCAACUGCAGCUCAAGUCAAGAGCAAUAACAUGAGCAUUUAGGUGGUCACAAGUGACCCCAUCCCAUGAGCAGCAAUCUGUACCCUCCUUCCAUGAAUUUGUCUUGGGAUAAGAUUUAAGGCCAGCAAAAUCAUUGCAAUAAGAAGAAGCAUCCUCUAUUAUGGAAAAAGAGUUCUUGAACUGGAUUAAUGAAGAGCAGGAGUGAGAUCCUGAAGAAGAAAAAGAAGCAUAAAUUUUAAAAAUUUUAAAAAUAAAACAUAUAUUAAAAUUUUCUAAGCAUUGCAGAAGAUUGUCCAAUAAACAAAUUAACGCAACAUUUUAGUUAUUGUCUACUGUCCAAUAAUGCCAUGUGUAUUAGUACAAACAUCCCCAUUUCACUUUUUUUUCAGUUUCCCAAAAACUCAUUUCACUCUAAGCUUUAUAAAAAAAAAAUUAUUUUAGUCCUUAAUUUAAUGCUGUUUUGCCUAGAAAUUGUUUUGCAAAUUUAUUUUGUUUUAUUUAUUUCUAAACCCAUAUUUCUUUUCUACAACCCCAAUUAUUAGAUUGUUUAGGGUUUUGACUAACUUUCGAUUUUGGAAUUUUAGAUUUUUUAAAUUUAAAUAUGAAGUGCUCUUCUUCUUCUCCAAACCCACAAUUUUUUUUGCCAAAUUUCAACUCAAUGUUUUACUUUCAGCUAUAAAUAAAAAAAUAUAUUAUAUUUAUAAUGAUCCAAGAAUAGUAGAGUCGACGCAGAUCUACAUGAAAAAGGAGGAAAAAAAAAGGCAAAGAAAGAUAAUAUGAAGAGAGCAUACAUCAAUAAAGCAAAUGAAAAACGAGCAGAAUUAAAGUAAAUGGGUAUUUAAUAUUUUUUUGUGAAAGUUCAAAGACUGAUUAUUUAUGAGAUUGGAUGUGGAAAAAGUAGUUGGAAAUUUUUUUUUUUCUUGCACCAAUUGAUUUUUUAUAUAAAUUUUUUAUUUAUUUUCAGAUUUUUAAAUUUUGUUACAAUUAUUUUUAUGAAAAUUUAAAAAUAUAAAAAAUACUUUUUGAACUAUAAUUUAAGGAUCAAGUUAGCUAUUAAUCAUUUGAAUAAAUAAAACAUACACAUGGAUUAAUGAAUUAAUCCACAAGCAAUGUUGGACAUUUUCAUAAUGCCAAAUUUCACUUCAGAUUUAGUUACCCAUAAUCAUAUUUAAACAAACAAAAAUACAACAAUCAUACAAAAUAGGCAUAACUAGAAAACAUGAGAAAAAUGAGAAAAGCUUGAAAACAAUUACAAUGGUAGCAAAGGAAAUGUAAAAAAAAACCCUAAAAAUAGAUUUUUAAUGAUGAAGGGAAUUUAUUUAUAUUAAAACCAAGGAUUAAGCUGAAAAUACAAAGAGUUAAAGGUACUAAACGAGCCAAUAAAUCCUAGCUACAGUGAUAAUUAACUUAACUAACUACUAUUAUUGGAACCAAGAAAAACUCAAAGAAAACAUGAAUUAAACCCUAGAGUUAUGGAGAAGAAAACUAAAACUCUAAAAAUAAAGAGAAAAAUUGAAAAACAUGAAAUGUUAAGUGUUGCCUUUUGUUCAGCCAAUUUUUUGCCCUUUCUAGCAAAUUACAGAUCCAAAAAUAGUGACCAAAUUGUCCAUGAUCAUCUAAUUUUGGUUAGGGGACAUGUUGGAAAAGGAUUACCCUACUGUUAUAUUUUGUCUCCUCUCAUCAAUGAUAUUGCGAUACCAAGUUUGGUAUCGCGAAAUUCACAACAGUCGUGGGGAUCCUUGGGAGUUUUGGGCAUUGCGAUACCUUAUGAUCGGUUUCACAAUAACACUGUUGAUGGCUCAAUCUUCCUUGUUUUUAAAAUUUUUAUGACGACUUUCGUGCUUUGAUAUGUGAUACCCUCUUUCUAGGUGACAUUUUCACUCCUUCCGGGCCACCAUUUGAACUCCCUAAAGAAAGAAGUGAAAUAAUUAGAGUUGAUGAUAUUGACUUGGUCUUGCUUCCUUUAUAUGUAUGAAUGUGGAAAUUGGCAUAAUGCCAAAACAGCCUUCAGUUCAUCUACAUUCCGCGUCAAAUCUACAAGCAUGAAUAUUAACCUUUGAACUCCAUAAUAACAACACCAAUUUCUGCAUUGUUCCAUUUUACAGUCUUUCCAUUUUAGCAAUUAAAGCAACCUAUAUGUACCCUUUUACAGUCUGCAUUGUUCCAUGUUUCAAUUCAUUAUAUCAUUCCUUCAACUCUGCUAUAUAUUAUUACUUUCUCCAUAUAACCAAACCUUUUACUGCUAACUUGUAAAAAAAUUAUGAAAAUACAACAGAGAUCAUUGCGCCAUUUUGUUCUCCUUUCUCCUUUACUGAGCAGUAGCAAAGAUUAUCGAGACUAAAUUGAAAGUCAUGAAAGAAGACAUAAACAACACCACCAUACAAAAUGUUACACUCAAACAAACCAUUACUGAAAGUACGAAAUGCAAUGAAAGACAGAGGAAUUGGUACAAUAAUAAAGACAGACACAUACCAAUGCAACCCUUCACCAUAGGCAAAACGGUCUACAGACUAAGAAAUUAUGAAAAUACAACACUAAUUCUUCACCAUCAUUUGCAGUAAUUAGAUCCUUCUUCGUCUACUGCUGCAAUUGCCUUUCUUUGACUUUCUUCUUCGCCUAUUCUCAUGUUGGUCUUCAACCAAAUUCACCAACCAUUUCGGCUUUCCAGUUUGGAAAACAACAUAUCCCACGAACAUUCCGAACACUACUCCGCAUCCAUAACCUAUCAACACCACUUUCCAACCAAAAGCAAUGUUUGAUUUUGAGCCAUCUUUUCCAAGCACAUUUGGAGGUGCUGGCUCAAUGAUGUUGCAACCUUUUGAGACCGGAAAUCCACAUAGUCCCUUAUUUCCUUUGAAUUGUUUGCCUUGAGGAAUCUGACCAUGGAGUUGAUUUUCAGAAAAUUUACGGACGAAAGAAAUGGCAGAUCUACCAAUCUAUUUGGAAUCGUCCCAGACAAACUGCUUGAAGAUAGGUCCAACCAUUCAAGACUUGUCAAAUUCCCUAUUGAGGUGGGGAUAUCACCAUUAGGGUUAUUAUGAGAAAGGUUGAGCCCUUUCAGUAAGUUAAGCUUCCCAAUAACCUUUGGAAUACCCCCUUCAAACUGAUUGUUUGAUAGAUCAAUGAUCAUCCACAUGGUGAAAAUUUUCACCAAUUCCCUAUCUUGUCCUUUCAUAACUAUUCCAAUGGAAUAGGUAUAGAAGCCAGGACCCCAAGGAUAAUUCAACCCCAUGUACGACACUGUACUCCCAAUCUUCUCUAGAUUUAUGAUAGCCUUGAAGCUGUUGAUGUAUCUCACUGGUAGGGGUCCAGAAAAAUAAUUACUUGAGAGGUCAAAAAUUUGGAUUUUAGAGAAAAAAGGGCUAGACUUGGAGCUAUUGACACAUAAGGAACCAUGCAUAUGAUUUGACUUCAAUACAAGAACUUGUAGUGUGGAAGACUUCCCAACCAAUGAGGAAAUGUAUCAUUGAUCUUGUUGUUACCAAGAUCUAGCACUUUCAGCUCAUAACAAUUAACGAUGGAUGGUGUCAAAGGCCCUUCUAACAGAUUUCCAUUUAAGUUGAAAUUACUCAAUUGGAAAAACUCUGCAAAUGUUGGAGGAAUCGUCCCAUAGAACUUGUUCUUCUUCAGAUUCAAGAAUUGAAGCUGGUAGCUGAAAUUUCCAAAACAUUGAGGAAUUGUUCCACUCAAGUUAUUGUGGGACAAAUCAAGAAUUUGAAGAGAACUGGCAUUGCAUAUUAAAGAAGAGACCUCUCCAUUGAAACUAUUAUUUGAGAUCAGAAAGACAUUGAUUGUCGAAGCUGGAAUCGGAAGAUUUCCACGGAUCAAAUUGGAGCUUAAGUCAAGAACUGCAAUAUUAUUCCAUGGAAAGUGCUCAACUUCUGUCAAUGAGUUGUGAGAUACAUUUAAGUAAGUCAAAGAGCCAUUCCCCACCUCUUGCAUCCACUGUGGAAUCUUGCCUUCAAUUUUGUUGCAAGAGAGGUCUAACCUUUCCAAACUUUUAAGCCCUUUCAAAAAUUGGGGGAAUUCACUAAAAUUUAAGGGUUUAAUAAGAUUUUUUAAAAAAAUUGGGGGUCUAAUAAAAAAAUUUAAAAUUUUUUGUGAGAUUAAUGAGAAUUUUCAAAAUUUUAAGAGCACUUAAUUAAAAUUUUCAAAAAAAAUUAAAAGGUAUAAUGAAAAAUUUAAAAAAUUUUUGGGGCUUAAUUGAAAUUUUCUAAAAAUUUCAAAGGAAAAAACAAAAUUCUCCGAUUUUUUUUUUUUUUUGCAUGGGUGGCGGGACAAAGAGCCCCCUAAGCCACCAUAAUAGUCCGUCUUUACCAAGGAUCAUAAUAAACCAUAUAUAAAUAGUUUAGGUACCACAUUAAACAUUUUCAAAGUACAUGUACCAUAAUAAUAACACAUACUGAUAGUACCACAUUAUAUAUUUUCAAAGUACUUGUACCACUAGACAUUUUAUGAAAGUACAGAUAUCAAAGGUGACAUUAUCCCUACUUAUAAUAAUAAUAUCAAAGUUAAAAGAUGCUUUUAGUCCCUAUAUUUAAAAGGUUAGAAAUUAAGUCUUCCGACUUUUUUAUUUAAAAAUCUCGGUACAAUCAUUAAACUCGUAAGUAUUUUCUGUCAAAAUUUAGUAAUUUAACAUGUUGAUUAAGCUAACGGAAACUACAACCAACAUAAAUAAUUAAACUAAUAUUUUUAAAUUAAGAAAAAUUAACUUUUAAAGUACAGGACUAAAACUCAAAUUCUAUAAACCAUUGUUGUUUUAUGCAUGUCGUGAAUGUACGGAAUUUGCUUUCAAUUCUGAAAAAAGCUUGUUACUUUCUAUUUGGUUUUCUCUGAUUUUCUCUUUACAUCAUUUCAUUUCAUGCUUUUUAAUUAGGAGGUUACGAUUGAUUUUAGGUGGUGUGAAUUUGGGUCGGGUCAAUUUUAAUUUAAAAAUUUUCGGGUUAUUUCGAGUUUAUAUUACAUAAAAUUUAGGUUAUUUUAGGAUUAAAUUAUUUUGGAUUUGAGUCGGUGUAAGGUUUUUUUUUUUUCAUAGUUUAGUUCAUUUGCUUUGUGUUUUUGGAUUGCAUCAUUUCGAGUUUUGCCAUUCGGGUUUGAUCACUAAAUCAAAUCAUUUCAAGAUCAUGUCAUUUUGGAUUCAAAUUAUCAAUUUUUUAUAAUCAAAUUGAGUUGAGUUAAGUUUAAAUUCAAAUUAAUUAAGUUGUAUUUUUAUGAUUCUGAUAUAAUGGACAUGUUUUAUCGAUUCAAUUUUACUAUUUAUAAAACCUAUGUUUCUCAAAAUACUUUUUUUCAAAUUAAAAUUUAUUAAUUAUUUAAAUUAAGAUGUUAUUCUUUUUAUUCUUUAUAUAUGUUUUACAGUCUGUGUUCGAGAUCCGUGAAUACCCCACACAACAUUGUUAUCUCCAACGAAUACGCAUUCUCUCCUUCAGAAUGUAAUAUGCCUUGCCACUACGCCAAACACUUGUUGGUAUCUAAAAUGGAUAAAAAAAACACAUUUCUCGUCCCUCUCAAUUUCUAUAUUGAACAAAUUGGUUCCUCUCAGAAAAUUAGAGCAAUUUAAUCAUUAUCAAUUUUGAAAGGGAGCAACUAAGGACAAUUAAUCAUUGUGUUAAUGCUUUCUAUAAAUUGUACAUAAUUUUUAUUGAUAUAAUAACAAAUUAAGCUCUCGAUGUUUAUAUAUUAUGUGUAAAUGUUAAUAGAAUAUGUAAUUGUUGCGGGCUAAAUUUGUUAAAUCAAGACCAAAUUGGCAGAAUGUGUAAACUUUGAGAGCUAAAUUUGUUAUUAUACCAAUAAAAAUAUGUACAAUUGAUGGAAAAUAUUGACAUUGUGAUUAAUUGUCCUUAGCUACUCACUUUCGAAAUUAACAAAGAUUAAAUUGCUUUGAUUUUUUUUAAAUGGACCAAUUUACUUAAUAUCAAAAUUGAGAGCGACUAACGAGGGUUUUUACCAUCUAAAAUCUUAUCUAAUACAAGAAAAACUUAACAACUAUUUUUUUAAUCAUGAAAGGGUAAACUACAUAAUUAGCCACUGAACUAUGGGUAAAUCUUCGUUUUGGUCACUUAACUAAAAAAGUUACAAUUUGGUCACCCUAUUGUUAAAUGACACUUUGUAGUUGCUAUAAUAACAAUUUUACUAUUUUGUUAUAUAAUUUUUUUUGCCAAUCUACCUCGAUUCUAUAUAAAAAUUAUAAAAAGAAACUCAAAAUUAUUUUAAAAAAUAUAAACUUCUAUAUAAAAAUUCUAGAAAAAUAAAAUCUCGAAUAUGUUGUUGUUGAAGAACUAAAAUGUAUGGGAAAUAAAAAAAAAUUAUCAUUCAAUAGAAUCCCAUAACAAAUUAAAAACAGAACAAAACAAAAAAAAAAGGGUUAGAUCAUUAUAUGCUUCCUCAAUGUUUUUUGCAACCAAAUUAGUAAAAUUUUCAAGUUGAGUUCCAUGCCCUUGAAGAACAUCUGUAACUGAUAUUACAAAAGCUUACGAAAUCGACUUUGAUGCCAUUUUUCUAGCAAAAAUAUAAAAUAUACCUCAAAAUUUUCUUUUUCAAACUCAAUUUGAAUUUUCAAUUCAUUUAAAUUUAUUUUUAAAAACCCAAAUUAUAAAAGCAGAUUAUAUACAGAUAAUUUUACUUAAUCUUUUUUUUACUUUUUUCUAUGUUUUCUAAAAGAAUGGAUAUUAGAUAUUUCUUUACAGAUAAUACAAAGAAAAUUUGUAGGGUUUAAAAAUGAUAUUUCCCUCAUUUUCUCUCACUUUAUUUAUAUUUGAAAUUCUUAUCUACUUUCAUUUAAUUUUUAAUUUUUAUAAUUUUGUAAAAUUUAAAAAGAAUUUCAUUUUUGUAAUCAUUUUAUAUAAUCAGAGUUAAAUUGACAAAAAGUAUAAAAAUUGAGGACUAAAAUUAUUAUUAUUCCAACAAAAAAGUGUCACUUAAUAGUCAGGUGACCAAAAAAGUUGUAAACUAUAAAAAUAGUCACCCAACUAUUAAAUUUUCCAAUUAGUUGCUAAACUUUUUGAAAUUAAAUAUUUUAAUCACUCUCCCUUUAGUUGUCGUUAGAUGAGUGACGGAAAGCUGAUGUGGGUUUUUUUUUAUCUAAUAACGAAUUUAACCUCUAAUAUUUACACAUUCUAUCAAUUUGAUCUUAAAUAUAAAAAAUUCAACAAAUUUAGCGCUUUUUACAAAAUUUGUCAUUUUAGUUCGAAUUCUGAAAAAAAAAAUUCAAUAAAGUUAGCCCUUAACAUUUACAAAAUUUGUCUAAUUCUAAUUCUAAAUUUUUAAUAAAAAUAAAAAUAUUUUAAAAAAAAUUAUUUUUAACCCUUUUUACUCACCCUUUGAUUGUGGCACCCACAUAGAAUCUUCGAAGCUAAUAAGCAUAAACCUAAAUUGAAGUUAAAAAGUAAACUAAAAUUGGUGAAAUCACCUUAACUCAAAGAAGAAAAUAAUCGCUGACAUGGUAGCGCCAUGCCAUCGCCCAUUGAUGACAUAUUAACCUUUGAGUUAAACUCAAAUUACUCUUUCUUUUAUUAUAAAUUAAGAGUAUAACUAAUUUUGAUAAGAAUGAUUACUUUUCAUUAACUCAGUUUAAAGGACUAUAACACGUAAAAUUUGGUCUAUUGCAGAAUUCACAUGCAAUGCGGGACAUUUACAUUAUGCAGAAUUCAACACAUAUAUGGGAAUUUUUGUAUUUCCACAAUCAUCAUGUUGUUAGUGAUCAACAACUAUUUCCUUUUUACCAUAUGUUUUUCAUUCAUAAAAUUAAUUCCUUUUUUUUUACCAAAGAAGUAAAAUAAUUAACAUUUCAUGAGAUUACAAAGUCUUCUUCCUUAUAACACGUUAAGUUUGGUCCCAAAUAAUUUUCCACACAAAAGAAUAAAGACUAUCAAUUGUCUAUUGACUUCACACUUGCUGUUGCUUCCUCCUAAAAUUAUCUCAUCGUCAAUGAAGCUACGUGCCUAAAAGCCAUGUAGGAUACCAAUUCCUGUAAUUGUAUUAAUCUCAUCGUUGCUGCAAUCUUUUGACUGUGUAAUCCAAUCUUAAAUAUGUUACUCUGCAAUGCUAUUGUAAAUAUUACUCUUAAAUUAAUAUUUGAACAUCUGCAACAUAAAUGCAUAUGGCAAAAGGGCUCAAACCAUACCUUACGUUCAUAAAUUCUCAUCGCCACGUGUUUAUAAAUGCAACUCAAACUUGAAUAAUUGAAUCUUUUGUAAUUCUACAUGUAUCCUUUUUUAUGGUGAGCAGUACAAUGUUUACUAAAAAUUGAAAUUCAAGAAAGAAGACACACAUAGUUGCACCAUACAAGAUGUUACACUCGAACUAAACCCUUACAAAUAGUACGAAAUGCAAUGAAAUACAGAGGAAUUGGUACAAUCAUAAAAACAGACACAUACCAAUGCAACUUUUCACCAUAGGAAAAACUUUCUGACAGACUACUAAACAAGAAAUUAUGAAGACACAGCACAAAUGCUUUAACUUCAUUUGCACCAACCAGAUCCUUCUUCAUCCACUGAUGCUUUAACUUACUCUGAGUAUUGAUACCCGGGCCGAAGUAUCCAUACCAAAUCCUUUUUACCAUAUAUUUUUCAUUCACAAAAUUGGAUACAUUUUUUUUCCAAAAUUUUGUAUUUCAUUUGAACUCCCUAAACAACUGAGAAAAUUAAGAUUGAUGAGAUUACAAAGUAGAUUGACUUAAUCUUCUUCCUCAUAAUACGUAAACAAUGUGGGUGUCUAUUUACUUAGUAUGUAUGGCUGUCAAGCAAUGUAGANNNNNNNNNNNNNNNNNNNNNNNNNNNNNNNNNNNNNNNNNNNNNNNNNNNNNNNNNNNNNNNNNNNNNNNNNNNNNNNNNNNNNNNNNNNNNNNNNNNNNNNNNNNNNNNNNNNNNNNNNNNNNNNNNNNNNNNNNNNNNNNNNNNNNNNNNNNNNNNNNNNNNNNNNNNNNNNNNNNNNNNNNNNNNNNNNNNNNNNNNNNNNNNNNNNNNNNNNNNNNNNNNNNNNNNNNNNNNNNNNNNNNNNNNNNNNNNNNNNNNNNNNNNNNNNNNNNNNNNNNNNNNNNNNNNNNNNNNNNNNNNNNNNNNNNNNNNNNNNNNNNNNNNNNNNNNNNNNNNNNNNNNNNNNNNNNNNNNNNNNNNNNNNNNNNNNNNNNNNNNNNNNNNNNNNNNNNNNNNNNNNNNNNNNNNNNNNNNNNNNNNNNNNNNNNNNNNNNNNNNNNNNNNNNNNNNNNNNNNNNNNNNNNNNNNNNNNNNNNNNNNNNNNNNNNNNNNNNNNNACUAGAUCUUUCCACUAACUAACCUUAAUGGUAGUAUCCCAUAUCAGUUAUUUGGUGCUUUUGAAAGACUGAUUUAUCUUAAUUUGUCUCACAACUCUUUCACUGGUUCCCUUCCUUCAGAUAUGAGAAAUAUGAAGAAUCUUGUCGAGUUUUACGUUCAUAAUAACAAUUUCCAUGGUGAAAUUCCCAUGACACUUGGGGAGAGUUUAGAACUUACAACUCUCUUCAUGCAAAAAAACUCAUUCCAUGGUACCAUCCCUCAAUCUUUUGCCUCCUUGAGAUCUCUUGAGAACUUAGAUCUUUCAAAUAACAAUUUGUCUGGCACCAUACCACCUGAACUUCAAAAACUUCCUUUUCUAGUGAGAUUAAACCUUUCUUUUAAUCAACUAGAGGGUGAAGUGACAAAAAAGGAGUUUUCAAAAAUGCCACUGGAUUUUCUUUCUUCGGAAAUAAAAACCUUUGUGGGGGAAUUCCAAAAAUACAGCUUCCCAAGUGCUUCAGUGAGAAACCAAAGGAAAAGGGAAAGGUUUUAUCAACCAAAACCGUUAUUGCUAUUAUCACCAGCAUUCUUCUUGGCUCUAUUUUGGUUGUUCUUCUUGUUUAUCAUUCCUUGAGACACAAGGCAAGAAGGGGAACAUUUAUGCCAUCAUCUUUGUUCGACAAUGGCUACUUGCGUUUAUCCUACAAAGAGCUUCUUGAAUGCACCCAUGGUUUUGCUUCCUCUAACUUGAUUGGAACUGGAAGUUUUGGCUCUGUAUAUAAAGGAGUUCUUUAUCAACAUGAAAAGCCUCUUGCUGUCAAGGUACUUAACCUUCGAAACCAUGGGGCUGCAAUAAGUUUCAUUGCAGAAUGCAAGGCUUUAAGGAAAAUUCGACAUUGGAAUCUUCUCAAAAUUAUAACUUCUUGCUCAAGCAUUGAUUAUCAAGGCAAUGAAUUCAAGGCUUUAGUUUUUGAAUUCAUGCCUAAUGGGAGUUUAGAAAGCUGGUUACAUGAGCAACAUGAUCAGUCAAGGUAUUUGAACUUUGCUCAAAGAUUAGACAUUGCUAUUGACAUGGCCAAUGCUAUAGAUUAUCUUCAUCAUGAUUGCGAGACGAUGGUUGUUCAUUGCGAUCUGAAGCCUUCCAAUGUCCUUCUUGACGAUGACAUGGUUGCACACGUCGCCGAUUUUGGAUUGGCAAAGCUCUUGUCUACCGUCACAAGCAAUAUUAGAAGCGAUCAAACAAGUUCCUCAGUGAUCAAGGGAACAAUUGGCUACGUUGCCCCGGGUAAAGUCUCUAACAUCGAAUCAAGGGAGAAACCAAAUGAUUUCUAUUAAAGAUUUUUAAAUUUUUUACGCAAUAUUAUUGCAGAAUAUGGCAUGGGUGGAUCAGUCUCUCCAGAAGGUGAUAUCUAUAGCUACGGCAUUAUGCUUUUAGAAAUGAUAACCGGAAGGAGACCGACAUGUGAUUUGUUUCAUGAUGGCUUAAGCCUUCAUAAUUUCUGCAAAAUGGCACUACAAGAAGGCUUGAAGGAGAUUUUUGAUGUUCGUUUAGUUGAAGAAAUUGGUGUAAACAAGAAGAGAAUAAGAAAUAAGCCAAACAUGGAAUCUGAGAUAUGGGAAUGCUUUGUUUCUUUCACUAAAAUUGGAGUUUCAUGCUCCACUGAAGUGGCUACUGAUAGAUUGAGAAUUAGAGAUGCCAUCAUUGAACUUCAUGCAACCAAAGCAAGGUUGCUUCGAACCGGGUUUUAUAGAAGGGACAAUAAAUAGGUUGCAAAAGCUGGUGAAAUGAAAUAGAGUAGAGUUUUGAAUUUUGCUGGGUGAAUUUGAUUUUGGGUACAACCAAUCCGAAAUGGUCAGUUCAGGUUUUGGAAUUUGUGGGUCAUAGUGAGUUAAUUUUAAAUUUCCAAUGGUUUUCGAUUUGAGUUAGUUUCGUGUUAGUGUGGUUUUUACUUUAAGUUUAAAAUUUUUAAAAAAAUGUUAUUGUUGCGCGGAAGCGUGUAAAAGAGUAAAGUUAUUGUACUAAAAAAUCACACUAAGUUCAAUUCCCAGGAAAGAGAGGUGGAUCACGAGGAUCGCUUAAGUACCAAAUCUUUCCUAGCCAGAAUAUCCCUCUAUAGUAAUUUAAUAGCACAAUAAAUCACUACAAUCACACUCGUAAAGUAUGCAAAAUAAACAAUAAAGAACACAAGAAUUUUAACGAGGUUCAGCAAAUUUUGCCUACGUCCUCAGGCACUACCAAAUAUAUUUCACUCUAAAAUACAAGUGAAAAUUUACAAAUAAGGAGAGAGAAGAAUGCCUUAAGUAGAGAAUGGCAUUUUUGUGGGAUGUAGAAAAUGAGAAAUAGCAAGGCCUAUUUAUAGUUGAAACUCAAGAAUCAACUUGCAAAGUCCCUAUUCAAUUAAGGACCAAAAUUGCAAUUAUCCCAAGCUAAAUUUCAACCCAAAAAUCUAUGCCUUAAAUGCUUAGAUUUUCGGUGCCAAAUUUCUGACACCAUUCAUCUUUGAAAAGUCAAAGAUUGCAUGCUUGCCAAUAAUCUCCACCUUGAAGAUUUGAUUAGGAUAAUCUUAUCUUCACACAAUUCUUUCUGCCUUCGACAACAAUACUUGAUAGUGCCUUCUUCAAUUGUUAAACUUGCAGAAUAUUGAUCAAGUUCGAACAAUGUUCGAACUUGAUUGUUGUUACCACCUUGGUCAUCAUAUCUGCGGGAUUAUCUGCAGUCUUGAUAUUCUGAAGAUGAAUUUUCCCCUCGUCAAUAAUUUCCCGCACAAAAUGGAAACGUACGUCGAUAUGCUUUGUACGUGCAUGAUAGACUUGAUUGUUUGCUAAAUGAAUAGCACUUUGACUAUCACAAUACACGUUAAUAUGCUCCUGAACCAAUCCCAAGGUUUUAACCAUACCUUGUAACCAAAUAGCUUCCUUUACAGCCUCUGUUACAGCCAUGUAUUCGGCUUCUGUGGUUGACAACACAACUGUAGACUGUAGUGUAGACUUCCAACUUAUUAGUCCUCCAGCAAGUGUAAACACAUAACCAGUGGUUGAUCUUCGUUUGUCCAAAUCACCGGCAUAGUCAGAAUCAACGUACCCAAUAACACCUUUACCAAGUGCAGUAUCCUGCUUGAACAAUAAUCCAACAUCCACAGUCUUCAGAAUAUACCAUAGAAUCCAUUUCACAGCUUGCCAAUGUCCUUUCCCAGGAUUAUGCAUAUACCUGCUCACUAUACUAACUGCCUGUGAAAUGUCGAGUCUUGUACACACCAUUGCAUACAUCAAGCUACCCACUGCAUUAGAAUAUAGAACUUGUAACAUGUAUUCUUGUUUCGUAUUCGUCGAAGGAGAUAGUUGUGCAGAAAGCUUAAAAUGAGAAGCCAACGGAGUACUUACAGGUUUUGUCUGCUCGUUCAUGCCAAACUGCUGUAGUACUUUCUUCAAAUACUGCUUCUGAGACAAACUGCUUCUGAGACAAACUAACUCUGCCUUGAGCUCUAUCUCUACAUAUUUCCAUGCCAAGAAUCUUCUUAGCUUCACCAAGAUCUUUCAUCUCAAACUCAAGAUUGAGUUGAGUUUUCAAUCUCUCAAUCUCAACUUUGCUCUUAGAUGCUAUCAGCAUAUCAUCAACAUAUAAGAGCAAGUAUAUGAAAGUUCCUACUUGUAGCUUCUGAAAAUACACGCAAUGAUCAAAUUUACUUCUUGUGUACCUUUGCCCUUUCAUGAACUGAUCAAAUCGCUUGUACCACUGCCUCAGAGAUUGUUUCAAUCCAUAAAGCGACUUUGUCAGUUUGCAAACCCAAUUUUCUUUAUCAGCAACCUUGAAUCCAUCAGGCUGAGUCAUAUAGAUUUCCUCUUCCAAAUCACCGUGUAAAAAAACCGUCUUCACAUCAAGCUGAACUAGUUCAAGGUCAUAUUGCGCAACCAAGGCUAGCAAAAUCCGAAUAGACGAAUGCUUCACAACUGGAGAAAACACUUCAUUGUAGUCUAUUCCUUCUUUCUGAGCGUAACCCUUUGCUACCAAUCUAGCCUUGUAUCGAAUUUCAUUUUUACCAGGAAAUCAUUCCUUCUUUGCAUAUACCCAUUUGCAUCCAAUUGCCUUCUUUCCCUUGGGUAGUGUCACCAACUCUUAAGUCCUAUUUUUAUGAAGAGACUGCAUUUCUUCAUUCAUAGCUUGCUUCCACUUUACACCAUCAGGGUUACUUAUUGCUUCUGUGUAAGUAGAAGGAACAUCAUCAUCUGCAAUUGGAAGUGCAUAGGCCACUAUUUCAUCAAAGCGAGCAGGCUUACGAAUCUCUCUUCUUGGCCUCCUAUAUGCAAUUGAAUCUUGUUGCUGUUGAAGUUCUUGGGUCAAAACUUCUUCAUCAUUUGUUUCUUCAAUAUUAGAUGAAUCAUCAUUAACCUUUUCAAGCUCCACCUGCUGCAAAGUGCCACUGGUUUUGUCAUCCUUUUGUGAAUCCUUGUUCUUCAUCAAAAGUCACAUCUCUACUGAAAAUAAUCUUCCUUGUAUCAGGACACCAGAGACGGUAUCCUUUUACUCCACCAGUUAUACCCAUGAAUAAAGCCUUCUUUGCUCUUGGGUCUAACUUAGAUUCUUUUACAUGAUAAUAUGCAGUGGAACCAAAAACAUGUAAAGAAUCAUAAUCAGUAGCAGGUUUACCAGUCCACAUCUCCGUAGGAGUUUUUCCAUUUAUUGUAGCUGAUGGCAACCGGUUAAUCAGAUGGCACGCAUAUGUAACUGCCUCAGCCCAAAAUUCCUUGCCCAAUCCAGCAUUGGACAACAUACAUCAAACUUUCUCCAGUAUAGUCCGAUUCAUACGUUCUGCCACCCCAUUCUGCUGUGGCGUAUCCCAGACAGUGAAGUGUCACACAAUGCCCUCAUCUCGACAUACUUGAAGAAAUGGGUCAUUUUUGUACUCAGUACCAUUAUCUGAUCGAAGUCGUUUGACCUUUCGACCAGUCUGAAUCUCCACCAUCUUCUUCCACUUCAGAAAUGUAUCCAAAACUUCACUUUUUAUUUUCAUUAGAUACACCCAUACUUUUCUUGAAUAAUCAUCAACAAAAGUAACCAAAUAGUGCAUACCUCCCAAAGAAGCCACUUUGGUAGGUCCCCACACGUCACUGUGAACGUAGUCCAGAAUUCCUUUCGUACUGUGAAUUGCUGAACCAAAUUUUACCCUCGUCUGCUUGCCCAGAACACAAUGCUCACAGAAUUCCAAUUUGCAAGAAUUUACACCUUUCAAUGAGCCUUGCUUCGCCAAAGUCUGCAAAGCUUUUUCACCAGCAUGUCCCAAUCGCCUAUGCCAUAACCUGGUAGCCUCUGAAUAUGCAUCUUUCACAGAAGCUGUUGAUGUUGAUCCAAUAACUAUACUUCCAUUUAAAUAGUACAAGUUAUUUCUUCUAGUGCCUUUUAUCACCGUCAAUACCCCAGCUACAACCUUUAGUAAUCCAUCUCUCAAAGUGAUUGUGAGCCCUUUAAAUUCUAGGGCCCCUAAUGAGAUGAGAUUUUUCUUCAAGCUAGGUACAUAGUGAAAAUCUGUCAAGACUUGGAUUGAGCCAUCGUGAUUCUUCAAUUUGAUUGUACCUACUCCCAUUGUCUUACAAGCACUGUCAUUGCCCAUGAAAACAACUCCACAUUCUAGUUCUUCAAGACUAGAAAACCAGUCCUUAUUAGGACACAUAUGGUAAGUACAUCCCGAAUCCAAAAUCCACUCAUCCGUAUGACAUGUAAUUGCCAUGCCAACCAAGCUAAAGUCUGACUCCUCAUCAUGCUCCGCUACACAUGCAUCAGAAAUAGCCUUGCCCUUUUGUAACUUAGGACAAUUCUUUUUCCAAUACCCUUUCUCACGACAAAAAGCACAUUCAUCUUUGGCGGGUCUCCCUUUGGACUUGCCCCUUCUACCAGGUUUGUUGCUCUGUGAACGACCUCUUACUGUUAAGACUUCUGCAGUUGUAUCUCUGUGAUCUCUUUUAUCUUUCUUUCGAGUCUCAGAUCUGUACAACGCACUGCAGACUGCAUCAAAUGUGAUCGUAUCCUUCCCAUGAAGCAAUGUGGUGGUAAGAUGAUCAUAUUCAUCGGGAAGAGAAUUCAACAACAAUAAUGCCUUGUCUUCAUCUUCAAACUUCUCAUCCAAAUUUAGCAAGUCUGCUAAAAUUUUAUUGAAUGAGUUCACAUAGUCAUUCAUCGACAUACCGGGUGCAUACGUGAACCGAAAAAGUUUCUUUUUCAUAUAAAGCCUAUUUUCAAGACUUUUCAUUAGAAACUUUUCUUCCAACGUAUCCCACAACUUCUUCGCUGAUGUCUCCCUCAUGACAGAGUACUUCUGCUCUUUGGCCAAACAUAGGCGGAUUGUACCACACGUCUGUCUAUUGAUCUUGGCCCACUCCUUGUCAUCCAUCUUGUCAGGUUUUUCUUCAAGAGCUAUAUCCAACUCUUGCUGACAUAAGACAUCCAGGAUCUCACAUUGCCACAUACCAAAAUUAUUGGUACCAUCAAAUUUCUCUACUUCAAAUUUUGCAUUGGUCACGGUAGUCUUUGUUGAUGACGACGCCUCUGCCAUUCUUCUCCUCGAUCCCAACUACUGUAUACGUGAACAGUACCGUCGAUGUGAAUAGUACUGUGGAUGAACAAUACCGUAUACGUAAAUAGUAUCGUAAACAGUCGUAUUCCCCAAGUACGAAUCUAGCUCGGAUACCAAUUGUUGCGCGGAAGCGUGUAAAAGAGUAAAAUUAUUGUACUAAAAAAUAACACUAAGUUCAAUUCCCAGGAAAGAGAGGUGGAUCACGAGGAUCGCUUAAGUACCAAAUCUUUCCUAGCCAGAAUAUCCCUCUAUAGUAAUUUAAUAGCACAAUAAAUCACUACAAUCACACUCGCAAAAUACGCAAAAUAAACAAUAAAGAACACAAGAAUUUUAACGAGGUUCAGCAAAUUUUGCCUACGUCCUCGGGCACUACCAAAUAUAUUUCACUCCAAAAUACAAGUGAAAAUUUACAAAAAAGGAGAGAGAAGAAUGCCUUAAGUAGAGAAUGGCAUUUUUGUGGGAUGUAGAAAAUGAGAAAUAGCAAGGCCUAUUUAUAGUUGAAGCUCAAGGAUCAACUUGCAAAGUCCCUAUUCAAUUAAGGACCAAAAUUGCAAUUAUCCCAAGCUAAAUUUCAACCCAAAAAUCUAUGCCUUAAAUGCUUAGAUUUUCGAUGCCAAAUUUCUGACACCAUUCAUCUUUGAAAAGUCAAAGAUUGCAUGCUUGCCAAUAGUUAUUCAAUGCUUUGCCUUCACUAUGUAUUAAUAAUUGAGAUAUUUCAACUUUACCCUGCAUUUUCUCAAACCAUUCAACUACUAUUCUAAUCUUCAAAAACAAAAGCAUUGCAACUCCUCCAUAAAAACUAGCAAACAAUAGGAAACAAGGAGCACCAAUUGGUUCCCUCAAUUAUGAAAUCUCCACUGUUGUUUAAGUUCCACGUUAGCCAUUCCUUUAAUUGUAUUGUGAAGAACGUGGAACUCUCCACAUUUUGAACAAUUGUCUUCCAUAUGUUUUGAACAAUUGUCUUCCAUAUUCUAACUUUUUCUUGUUUUGGCUUCUCAUUUUUAUUUGUUGUCUAUUUUUACUUCUUUUGAAUCAAUUAUUUUUUGUUUAAAUUGAUUCUUCUCUAUUUUGAACCGAUUGUUUUUUUAUUUGAAUUGAUUCAUCUUGGUUUAAAUCGAUUCUUUGUGGAUUAACUCAAUUCAAAUCUCAACUAAUGGUAUCGAAAGCCUGUCAUAUUUGAGGGCCUUUGUUCUUUGUUGUUUGUAAAGAAAGAAGGAAAGAAAGAGAAGUUGUUUUGUUGUUGUAAAACAUGAGUUUUUCACCACCACUUGUAUUUGGUGGUGAAAACUAUCAUAUAUGAGUAGUGAAAAUGAAGAUAUAUCUGCAAACUCAUGAUUUGUGGGAUGUGACUGAGACAGAUAGAGAGUCACCUCUAUUGAGAGCUAAUUGCUCAAAUUAGACAAUAUAGUAAUGAUUGGCGUAAUAUUUCAAAAUAGUCACCAUCGUUAAAAUUCUUGUACGAAAUUCACUGAUAUGAAAUUUUGAAAUAAAAAGAAAUUACACUUGGUAGUCAUGUAAUAAUAAAAAUAAUGUUGAAUCAAAUUAUGAAAGUAGAUGAAUCAAAUUAAAUAACAAAACUAAAGUAUAUAGAUUAAAUCUUAAGUUUUAACAUAGUAGAAGGUCAAAAUUGAAAUUUGAACAUUAAAAAAAAAAAGGCAACUCCUACCCUCAAAAAAUAUGUCACGUUGGGUAGUUAAUAACAUUAAAAAUUAGAGGGGCUAAAUUAUAUUAAAAAUUAAAAUAUAUAGAUUAAAUUUUAAAUUUAAACGUAUCAAAAGGACCUAAAUUAAAACUUAACCUUUUUUAUGAAUUGCAAAAACAAAAAAGCGGGUGGGGGAGAAAGGGAACAUGCGGGUGGGUUGUUAGAACAAUUGUUUAGUAACAAGGAAAGCACUUAGUGUGUGUUUGAUGAGGUGGAAAAUAAAACAAAUUUUCAGGAUGUUUGGUUGAGAAAAAAAAAAGAGAAUUAAUUAUUUUUUAUUUUAAUGCAUAAAAAUUAAUUCUUUAAAAUUGAAAUGAUGAAUAGAGAGAAAAUGAGAGCAAUGAUGGAUCAUGGUAUCGAGUUUGGAGGAUAGUACAUUUAAAAAAAAGGAAUUUAAUGAGAAUAAAAAAAAUUGGGUGACUAAUUAAAAUUUUAAAAUUUUUUGUGAGAUUAAUGAAAAUUUUCAAAAAAAAAAUUAAGAGAGUUUAAUUAAAAUUUUUAAAAAUAUAUAAUUAAAAGGUAUAAUGUGAAUUUUAAAAAUUUGAGGGGUUUAAUUAAAAUUUUUAAAAAAUUUUGAUGAGUGCUUAAUUUCUCUAAUAUUUCUCCUAUUGAAUUAUGCUAUUUAUGUUCUUAAAUCUUAUUUAUACUUAAACUUUAUUUAUUAUGUAUUUAGGGAAUAAUCGGAGAAAAGUGAUGUUAAAGUUUAUUUUUAAAAAGUUUUCUGCGAUUUAGAUUUUUAAUAGAAUGUAGCUUGAGUAUUUUUGACAUAACUUGAGCUGUAGACUUCUAUUUUGGACCCAUAAUAUGCUGAUUCGAAGGAAAUUGAAAGAUCUAGGUAAAGUUCUUUAUGGAAGAAGCCGAAAAACAUCAAGAAGGAACCUAAAAAUGGCCUGAAAGUUUGACAUGAAAAUUACCAAACAAUCUAGAAGAAUUCUGUUUUAUUUAAUAAGGGCAUUUUUGUAUUUUCUCCAUUAUAUUAUUUUUUUUCCCUAUAACUAUACAAUCUUAAGUUAAGAUUUGGGGGACUUAGACUUAGUCAUUCUUAAUUUUUUUUUAUUUUAUUUUAUGAGUUUCUAAACCCACUUUUCUAGUCAAAGGUUAUAUCAAAGUUUGGAGAUAUAAGUUCAAACCUUGGAGACAACAUUAUUGGGAGGGGCAACCAUGAACCCCAAAUAUGGACCAUAAAAUGGACAUGAAGAAUAACAAAAAAAAAAGGUUUGACUUAAUAAAUUCGUGAGACUUAUUUGUGUUUUAAUUCUUCUUUGUUCUUUAGUAUUCAUGCAUCUUUAGUUUUAAUUUCAAUUGCUCAAGUUUAUUGAAUGUCCAACCAGUAUUUGAUAGCUUACAAUGAUUGUCGAGUCAAUUUGGAUAAUUAAAUUCUAAUUUUAUCUAAUACCAGUGACAAAUUGUAUAACUCGUUUAUAUCAUAGUUUACGUUUAUGUAGUGUGGAUGUGUGAUAUAGCUUAAAUAAACUCUAUUGAGGUGAGUUUGUUGGUUAGAAUUAUGUCUCUCUCAUUCUUAAUGCUAUCGGUAGGUUAAGCUUUAGGCGUUGAGUUACAAGAUUAUUUAUUAGUUAGAGAAGUAAUUUCAAAUGAGCUGCCUCUUAGAUAUCGAAUAGGGUAAGGAGAAAUUAGUUGUUCGACACUGAGUCAACAUCUGACACUUAGUUAACCUUUGACUAGACCUUUUUCCCAUUGGUUUUUCUAAAACUUUUAAUUAAUUGUUACUUUCAAUUGAAGCCUUAAAUUUAAAUUUAGUUUUUGAUUUAAUAAAAUCCCCUUCCAUUUUACUUUUAUUGUUUUGUUUGAAGAAAUAAAUUUAUUAUCAACCUCUAUGGAUGUUGCUUUCUACUAAUCUCAUACUUUUAGGUAGGUUUUUAUUUUUGUAGGUCUUGACAGCCUAACAAAUUUUAAGGGAGAAAUUAAAAUUUCCCAAAUUUAUUUUGGCUAUCACAACGGUCUGCCUCAGAACAAAUGAAAGAUUUAUAUGUUAGUUCAAAAUUAUAUAUUUUUCAAAUAUUUUAUUUUCUUUACUUUCAAUUUUUUACUUUACCAACCACACCUAUAAAAAAAAAUUAUGUUAUCCUUUUAAAUUUUUACUCCAAAUUUUCAAUUUUCUUUCCACUCUACCAAACAAAAUCUUAAAGCUACCCUAGGUUCUGCACAAUAUGGAGGAUGGAAAAGAAUGACAUAAUUUGCGAUUGUUCAAAUACAUGAGCAACGUAUAACUAAGAGAAAUAGAAGCUUAAUUUAGUAAAAGCAGAACCAAACAUAAGAUCACACACAAAUAUGCUUUGUUAAUUAAAAUCAGAAGCAGCACAAGAAUCAUGGCGUGCGGUCAUUCUAUGCAUUCUCGCUUGAACUGUAGAAGGGAUAUUAUGUUUUUACGUUAAACCAAGCAUUAAACAAUAAUAUGAAUAAAGUCUAUACCAUCCAGCAGCAGUUUGCAACACAGUCCAUCAGUCAUAGAACAAGCACUUCAGAGCAAGGCUCAAAAACCUCUCAUUGAUUAGAAACAACAAUAGUUAAAUCACAGUUAACAUUUAAGUAUGGCUAAGAAAUCAAGAACAGAGCCAUGUUAUUUGCUUGAUUUACAUAGCCCACUUAUUCAUUACCUGUCAGCAAGCACAUAACCUUGCAAAUAAUCAAUAAAGAAUAAUAUUUUCUCAAGUUUCAUUAACUUGCUUUAGUUUUUUCAGACCUUCAACAUUUCCAACAAAAGUUCAGACAACUGCCUGAGAACAAUCCCAAUUCCAUAGCCAUUAAUCCUAACUCUUGUAAGAUCGCAGAAGUUUUAAUCUAAGCAAAACAAGAAAUUCCAGCUCACAAAAAAAUUGUACAAUAUCCUUUGCCCUGUGUGUGGAAACUGCUUACUUCAAAGCAUCAACAAUUAAUACAUAACCUUGGCCUUCUAACCCAGGUUUUCUACUCUUGAAUCUGCCAAGCCAACAAAUAAAAAAAUAAAAAAACAAGUUAAAAGAUAUCCUCACAAGUCAUAACCUGUCUACAAAACAAAGUCACAAUAAGCCUAUCAUAUUGUCCACUGUGCAAAGCUAACAACUAUUCUAUUAUAAGGAUUUGAUGAAUUACUAAAAAAAAUAAAAUAAAGUCAAAUUAGAAUAAAAUUAACAUUUAUUAUUUCAAUUUAAAAAAAAUCAUUUAUUAUUUCAAAAAUAAAUCAAUUUAAUUUUUGUAUUAUUAAAAAGAAUAGAACAAAGUCAAAUUAGAAUAAAAUUAACAUUUAUUAUUUCAAUAUAAAAAAAACAUUUGUUGAAUAGGUAAUUUUGGACGCAUACUAUAUACAUUCCAUUCUCAUCAUGGGGAAAUAAUUUUGGAAGUUUUUCCAAUGUUAGGGUUGUCGAUAAACAUUUAUCAGUAAUAUGAUUCCACAACACUUAGUCAUAGUUUCCAAGGUCCGAAUUAAUGAGUUAAAAGCAUCUUGGAGGCUCCUAUACUAAGAGUUAGACUGCAUUUUGCCUCCUUUAAUCAAAAAAUGAGCAAACUAGUCCUUGAACAUUAUAUUAAAGAGAAAAUUGGUCCUUUUUGUUAAAAAAUUCAUCCAUUUGUACUGUUAAAAACUAGUGUGAUUGAAGAAAUAACUAGACAAUAACAUGUGACGUGCUAUGUGUACCUCAUGUUAACAUUCAGGGACCAAUUUUUAAUGGUAGAAAUGGAAGAAAUUUUUAAUAGAAUCGACAACCAUGUUUUUACCUGCAUUUAGUUGAUAUAUUGAAAAUCUUCAUUUUCCAUUUUGCAUUCAUGUCCCGUUUGGGUAUGGAUAUAAAAAUAUGGUACUCCAAAUAUAUGAAAAAACCUUUAAAAAAUUAAAUAAACUCGUGUUAGACACAAAUUAUAUCAGACAUUUGAUCAAAAAAAUCUUAGCAACAUAGGCCUCCACCUAUUGAUUUAUGUAACAUGGCUUUGAAAGAUGCCCUAAAAUCAUCCGUUCUUUCAUGUAACGUGUGGCAGUUGACUCCCAACCCACCUCCAGUUCCAAUUUAUUUUCUUGCUGAAAAUUGGAUUUCGGAUCGCAUCUUGCUCAACCGAUUGGGGUGUCUUUAAAAAACAAUUGAAGAAAAAUUAAAACUGAAAUUUUAAUCUCAUGUCAUCAAGGAAAAAUAAGAAACACAUAUAUUCUUUAUAAAAUUUUUGCAUGUUAUGCCUUUUUGUUGUAAUUGUUGUAACUACUUAGAAUAAAGUAGGAUUAAAGGGUUGUAGGAUCGAUACCUUUGUUUUGCAAUGCACAAAUUCCUGUGAAUCAAUGAAGAAACCAGUUGUCAACUUAGGGCAAUCUCUUUCUGUCAAAACUCUCAAUGCUGACAAUACAGAAUGAUAUCUUUUGGGAUAGAAGUGAAUGAGGCCUGGUAGUUCUUCAAGUGAUAACCAUUCUAAUUUAUCAAAAUUCAUCUCCUUUUCAGCUGUCACUUCCACUUCAUCUUCUAAUUCGAAUACUUCUUCCAAUUUAGAGUUCAUUUUCAAUUUCAAACAUUCAAGUUUUGGAAGAACAUGAACAUAUCCAAAAGGAAAGGCUUUUCAAAUUUCUACAAUUUCUAACUGUGAUAUUAGUCAAAUUUGGAAAGCUUAUAGGUUGGAGGCCAGUAUCACCAUUUGAUGAUGAUGAUGAAGAAACUUGGUCCUUGGCUAAAAUGAGUCGUUCUAUUUCCUCACACCCCUCGAUGAAAAGAUUCACCAAAUGCGAUAAACUGUGAGCCGUUGUAGGUGAAAAUAUAUAUCCUAACUUCUUGCAAUCCCUCAACUUUAGAGUUGUAAGGUUCUCAAGGGUUACAACUUGAGCAAAAUCAUUCCAUAUAAUCUGCACUUCAAAUAAAUUAUUCAAGUCCAAUUCUUUUAUCCUUGAGAACGAGUACCCACCUUGAACUUGAAAUACUUCUUCAUGAUUCCCAACUACUAUACAAUCUUCAUUCAAUACAUACAGAAAUCCCAACAAAUGUCUUAAAAACACACUAGAGUAAAUGUUACCCAUAAGUGUUCAUAUUUUACAUGUUCCAAGUAAUAAUGUAUACUACUUCUCCAAUUUCAUUACCACAUGUAUCUUUUGUUUUUUUUAAAGGAUAUAUUUUAAAAUUUAAACCCCUAAAAUUUCAACCAAAUUAUUUACACAUGAGAGGCAAAUGCUUGAUUUUACAUUUUUAUUUAAAGAGUGAACAAUGGGACUCGCGUGCAAAUUAAGUAUAAAAGGGGAAUGAAUUAUCGCAUGAAUUAAGCAAAGCAAUAUAUUGAUUUACUAGUUUGCUACAGUAUCAAAAUCCAUAUAUAAAAUGCAAACAAUCUAAAUAAUACCUCCAGGAGCCGAGCUUGUACAAUGAAGCAUGAGAAUAUUGGGCAAUCCAUUAUUUGAAGAGUUUUCAAUUUUGCCCAGUAAUAAUUCUGCAUGAAUGAACCACACAUUUAGAUAUUAUACAAAAUAUAUUUAUCAUUUAUAUAACAAUUAAUACAGAAGUACCUGUGAUCUAAAUUCCGGAAGCACAAUAUCUUGCCCAUUCUCAUUUUGCUCCAUGUUGAAUAUUUGCAUAAAUUGAGGACAAUGACUUAUGUGAAGAAAUUCCAAGGAUUGAAGCCCUUGAGUCGAAGUGCUUACACAAACAUAUUUCAAACUUUUGCAGGACUGUAUGUGAAGAAUUCUCAAUUUCGGCCAGUAACAAAGACCACAAUCAUUUUGCGUAUUUCAAACACACAUAUUAGGAAGUUAUUUAUUUUUAAUAAUUUUUUAAUAUUAUAAAAAAAUUGAGCAUAUCAAUAUAAAAAUUUUAAAUAUAUUGAUCAUUAUAUUGUAUUUUCAAGGUAUUUUCACUAAUGUAAAAUAUUUGUUAUUAUAUUAUAAAAAAAUGCUAUAAAAAAGCAAAAAAUAGUUAAGUAGAUUAACAAAAUGACUUCUAUAGGUAGUUUCACAAACCUUCUCAAAAUCACUUUGGCUCGAUAAUUUCUCUCCAACAGCAACAGGAGUUUUAGUUGCCUUAUUGUUUUGCAUGGAGAACUUGGUCAGAAUCUUUGUGGCAAAGCUUUUCUGACUUAGGAAUAUCCCAUUCUGUGUUUGUGAUACCUCCAUUCCAAGAAAAUAGGACAUCUCACCUAGAUCAGACAUUUCAAACACUUCCUGCAUGUUGGUCUUGAAAUUGACCAGCACUGUUCGAUCUCCUCCUGUUACCAGCAGGUCAUCAACAUACAGGGACACAAUGAGCUGUGUUUGUGCCCCUUCCUUCUUAACAUACAGUGUUGGCUCACUCUUGCUUCGAUCAAAUCCCAAACUAAUCAAAUAGCCAUCGAUUCUGCUAUACCAGAACCUUGGGGCCUGUUUCAAGCCAUAUAGGGCCUUCUUCAGUUUAUAGACCAUGUGCUCUCUGCCAGCUAUCUCAAACCCUUGUGGUUGUUCAACAUAGAUGUCUUCAUCUAAGAAGCCAUUCAGAAAAGCUGACUUCACAUCGAGUUGAUGGAUCUUCCAUUCGAGCUGUGCUACUAAGGCAAUCAACAGUCUGAUGGUGUCGAGCCUGGCCACUGGUGCAAAGGUCUCCAAGAAGUCCAGGCCAUAUUUCUGACUGAACCCCUUGACAACUAACCUUGCUUUCAGUUUGUUCAAGGUUCCAUCAGCAUUCUGCUUGGCUUUGUACACCCAUUUCACUCCAAUAACCUUCCUUUUGACUGGCUUUUCAACUAACUCCCAAGUCUGGUUCUUCUCAAUCAUGCUGAUCUCCUCAGCCAUUGCCUACUUCCACCCUUGCUGAGCUUUAGUCUCUUCAAAGUUGCAUGGUUCAACUAUGGUUACAUGAGCCCUUUCAUAAAUCUCAGUCAAUGGUCUUGUUCCCCUGACUGGUUCAUCAUCAAUGUCCAUUUAAGGAACAUUUUGGUCUGGCUCAGCUUGAUCUGCUGCAAGUUCUUUUGAAACUUCCCCAGGUUCAUGUCUUUCCUAGUUCCAACAUGACCUUUCAUCGAAUACCAUAUCCCUGCUGACUGACACUUUAUUUGUUAAAGGAUCCAAGAUCCUAUAGCCCUUCUUGACAGUGCUGUAGCCCACCAGAACACUAGGUCGAGCCCUUUCAGACAACUUUUCCAUUUUAACAGCAGUUACAUGUACAUAACAGAUACAUCCAAAGACCUUCAGAUGAGCCAGUGAUGGCUUGAAUCCAAACCAAGCCUCAAAUGGAGUCUUCUGAUCCAAAGCCUUGGUUGGGAGUCUGUUUUGAAUGUAGGUUGCAGUGUUAACUGCUUCUGCCCAUAGAGCUUUAGGCAGAUUCUUCUGAAUCAUCAAGCACUUGGCCAUAUCCAUCAGGCUCCUAUUCUUUCUUUCACUUACACCAUUUUGCUGAGGUGUAUAAGUGUUGGUAAGCUGAUUUUUGAUGCCUGCCUUAUCAUAGAAGGCUUAGAACUGAGCUGAGGCGUACUCAGUCCCAUUAUCAGACCUUAUGGUCUUCAGCUUGCAGCCUGUUUCAGUCUCAGCAGCAGUUUUGAACUUCCAAAAACAUAGAGGCCACCUAUGAUUUCUGUUUCAAGAAGUAAAGCCAACAAUAUCUCAAGAAAUCAUCAAUAAACAGUAUGAAAUACCUGUUUCCACUUAAUGACUCAGUCUUCAUGGGGCCACACACAUCAGUGUGCACCAGUUGAAGUUUUUCAGAGGCUCUCCAAGCUUGAUUCGAGGGAAAUGGGAGUCUGGCCUGCUUUCCUAGCUGACAUACUUCACAUACAUCAUCAUGCUCCACUGAGUUGAUAGAGUUCUCAGCCAAGACCUCUCUGACCAUUCGAGCCAUCGAUCUGAAGUUGGCAUGUCCAAGCCUUUGAUGCCAAAGCUAAGAUUCAUUUGAUGUGGAUGUGUAGGCAAUGUCUGACUCCUUUGUUCAGUCAACUACAAAGCUCUUAUCAGCCAUAGGGACUGACAUUAGCUUGGAUCCACUUGGAUCACUGAUUUGGCACUGGUUGUCUUUGAACACAACAGAAUAACCUUUCUCCAGCAAUUGAGCUAUGCUGAGCAGGUUUCUGUCAAUUUCAGGCACCAAGAGCACAUUUGAAAUCACUUUGGCACCUGUGAGAGUGCAUAUCAGCACAUCACCCUUGCCUUCAGCUUUUAUAAAGUGGCCAUUGCCUAUUUUAACUUUGGUUCUGCAGCUUCUGUCUAAGAACUUGAAGAUAGCAGCAUCAGGUGUCAUAUGGUUGUAACAUCCACUGUCUAGAAGCCAACCAGAUGGAAUUCUUUGUUGAGCACCUGAGCAUGACACAACAAAGACUUGCUCCUCUUGAUCACUGUCUUCUUUGGCCACUCGAGCUUCUGCCUUCACUUGUUGGGAAUGAUUCUGCCUUGGUUUACCCAUGCUUUUGCAGACUCUUUCAACAUGACCAUUUCUUUUGCAAUGCUGGCAUACAACAUCUGGAUUGAACCACCAUUUUUCUUCUGGAUGACCAACCCUUUUACAGUGCUUACAAGUCUAACCCUCUUUUCUUGCAGCAUCAUACCUUGUCUUGUCUCUCCAGGCCUUCUUGGCUUUGUAGGCAGUUUUUGUCCUUGCCUGAAAGGCACCUUCUUUGUGCUUCUCCAGUCUGCUUGCUCUUCUCUGCUCUUGAGCAUAUAGAGCAUUGAUGAACUCUGUCAGGGAGGUGCUGGACAAGUCCCUUGAGUCUCCGAGAGAUGAGAUUUUUGCCUCAUACCUUUCAGGCAAAUUUGCAAUAACCUUCUCCACUAUCCUAGCUUCAUUGAACUGCUCUCCAAGGAGCCUAAUGCUGUUAACCACAGCCAUAAUCCUGUCAAAGUAUUGCUUGAUAGUUUCUUCUUCCUCCAUAUUCAAAUUCUCGAAUUCUCUCCUCAGGUUCAACAACUGUUGCUGCCUUGUCCUCUCUGUCCCAUGAAACUCCUCUUGCAACUUGUCCCAGGCCUGCUUUGGUGAUUCACAUGCCAUAAUCCUUGUGAAAAUCACAUCUGACACUGAGUUCUGGAUGCAAGACAUAGCCUUGUGCCUCUUGGUCCUCUCAUCAGCAUGCUACCUGAUCUGAGCCACUGUUGGAUUGGCUCUAAGUGGUUCUGGUUCAACAUCAGAGUUGACCACCUCCCACUGAUCGAAAGCCUGCAGGUAGGUCUUCAUUUUGACCACCCAUAUGUGAUAGCCUUCUCCAUUGAAGACUUGAGGUGCAGCUGGGGAAAAGUUUGAUGAAGCCAUCCUUAAACAGUAGGUCCCUUAAGAAACAGGCUCUAGAUACCAAUUGUUGGUGGAAUAACAGAAAUUAACAUACUCAGCUAGUGUCUUGUGCAACAAGCCUCGAUGCUUGCUGAGCAAACAAACAAAUUUGAGCCAAAGAAAGAAGAAAAGCUAAGGAAAAAUGGAGAGUAUUUGAUGAACAAAAUCUGAUUCAUUCAUUGAAUAAACAAUGGCAUGAUGCCAAUACAUAAAUCAAGCACUAAGCUUGUAAAAAAUAGCAAGUAAUCACCUAAACAUUACCUACCUCCACUAAUUACAUAGAAAAUUGAAAUUUUAGCUUGUAAACCUAUACAAAGCUGUGUUUACAGCUCAUAUACAAGCUAAUUACAUCAAUCAAAUACUUAACUUAGUUAGACUAAGACUCAUUUCAUGAACUAAAGUUUACAAAAUGAACAAAAUAAGCUUGCAUCAGCACCUCCUGCAUGGCUUGGUCUUCAUGCUGUCGAGUGUUGGCUGCAUGCUGACCAACUUCAUCAUUGUGAAAUUUGAUUAGUAGAAAGUAUCACUGAUAAUGCAGUUAAACGAGACAAUGAAUUCAACUCCAAUAAACUGAUAUUGCUUUUGCUUAUGACAUGUAACUCUUGCAGUGAAGUCAACCUAUUAUUUUCAUAAAAAAAUAGCAUUAAUUAAGACACAAUACACAUGAGAUGAAUAUGAAAUAUUAAAGAUGAAACUGGCCAAAAUUGUGAAAAAAAUUCAAACAUUCAUAAAAGUUUAUAAAUCAUUAAUGAUUUUUAGUUUUAUAAUAUUUUAAAUAUUUAUUUAUUUUAUUAAAUGAUAAAAGUGACGCAUUAUAGUUAGUUGGUGGUGUAUGAAAUUCAUACAUUGAUGAUGUAUCAAAUAUUAUCUCAUAUAUAUGUAUUAACUCUAAAUUUACAAAAAGCUCUUAAAAAAUCUAAAACUACAAAUAGUACCCUAUUUUUGAAAAAAUAUUUAUCCAAUUAUUUAUUUUUAAUUUAAAUAAAUUAUUAAUAAAAUAUUAUACCAUUAAAAUUAGAGGACUUAUUAAAUUAAAAUUUCUUAAUUGAUUUCUUCUUCAACUCCAACACUAGAAAGACGUAAAUAUUUCAGUGUAGACAAUUUCACUAAUUCUUCACUUAUCUCAUCAAUUUUAGUGCCAAUCAAUGCAAGAAUCUCAAGGCUUCUCAUAUUUUUCAGUGAUGAUGAGAAGUUUUCCAGCUCGCAAUCCACACAACACAAAGUUUUAAGAUUUGGUAAGGAAUGGAAUCCUAUGGGUGAGAAACUGACACUUUCUAGAUAUAGAACUUGGAGGACUUUCAUUUCUUCAAAAAAUAUACUGGAAACCACUAGUAAAUCACCUCGCUUCCGCUUCCGCUUCUGCCUCAAGUCCCAUCUCCAAUCGCAAUCCCAAUCCCCCUCUAAAAUCAAAGUCAUGAGCUUUGAAAAUUCCACUUUAUCAGGAAAUUUUUUUAUGUUACUACUACAAUUCCAUAAAGCGAUUGCACCAUAACAUCCAUCCAUAUCGGGCCAUUCUUUCAGCUCAUCUUUUACCAUGAACCUUUUUUCUCCGGUUGAUGUUAGCCAAUGAGCAAAAUCUCGAAUCACAUCAUGCAUUCUUAUCCUUUCUGCAUCAUCAGUUCCCAAUAUCAAGCCUGAUUUUUGGAGUUUUUUAAGUGCCAUAACAAUUUCAUUCCUUUUAUCUUCAAUCGAGAAAGCAUUAGGGAACAAUCCUACUCCAAUUCCACACAUAAUCAAUAUCUUAAGAGAGAUUUCAUAAUCUUCAGGAAAAAGGGAACACAGUAAGAAACACAUUUGGAUGUCAUUUCCCGUCAUUUGGCUAUUGCCUUCCUUCAAAUAAUCGUAGGUAAGCUUAAGAGGCUUGGGGACACCUCCGAGAACUUUUUCAUUAUCCAAAUGUCUUGAUUCCUUGAAUCUCUGAUUUACGGUUGUCCACCCAUUUAAACUCUCACCUUUCAAAGCUUUGGCCACGAAAACAAUUGCAAGAGGCAAUCCCUUACAUUGAGCAGCAACCUCUUUGGCUACAUCAUUCAAGGUGGAACUGUCAUCAUCUAAACCAGUUUUACCUCGAAAUAAAACCCAUGCUUCGUCUUCGGAUAAGAUGCCAAGUUGAAUUUCCUUCUUACAGUUCAUUUUAGUGCAGAAUUGUUGAUCACGUGUAGUCAGAAGAAUUUUACAACCCUUGUGUUCAUCACCGAAUGGAAUUCUGAUACUCUCCAAUUUCAAUUCUUCCCAGAGGUCGUCGACAAUUACGAGGAUUUUGUUCACGCCUUGCAUACUUCUGAAUGGCACUUCUACUUUUCCUUCUCGGCUACUUGUUUCAAAAUUUAAACAAAAAAAUCUGCAACUUUAUCUUGGAUUUUGUUGAUGUUUGGAUUUUGGGACAUAGUAAACAUCACAAAUUUAUCAAAGAGCUUUUGUUCUCGAGCAUGCUUCCCAACUUCUUGGGCUAAAGUUGUUUUACCAACUUCUGGCAUUCCGUGCAGUCCGAUCAUGUUGACACCCUUAGCGUUUAUAGCCUCCAUCAUCUGGUUCAAAGCUGAUUUUGAAGAUUCAGAGUCCAUGAAAUCCGUGGAUGUGAUGAACUCUAUUCCUUGAAGAGAAUCACAAUAGCCCACCUGUGGGAAGUUAGAAGCCUCUAAAAGUUUAGAGAUAAUAGGAUUCUUCUCUGCAAGUUUCUUACUUAAGCAGUAUCGCCAGCCCCAUUUAGGACACCAUUUGAAACACUUGACGCUAUCUAUUUCAUCUUCCAAGUUCUGGGUUUCUUCCAGUUCUUUCUCAGCACUUCUAAGCCAGUCCUCAACGUCCUCAUAAAUGACCUCAAUUUUCCUUUUAGCCUCAUCGACACGAGUUUUCACCAUCUGUUUCCUCAAUUUAAGUGCCUUCCGUUGAUUCGUGAAAUCUUCAAUGAUCUCUCCAUAACCGAAAAAGUAACGGAGAUAAGGUAAUGUGCAUUUCUUUGCCUUGUUUGUCACAUUUUCGACAGUAGUAGAGGCAACAUAUUCGGCCAUUUUUGUUGAUUGUCUGAUGAGGAUGAACAAAAAACUCUGGUUAUUAGUUAGAAGAUCAACAUAAAGACAAAUAAAAGUAAUUAUGACAAAUAAAAUCAGUAUUUGUAGUGGAUUCCGAGUAGUAAAAAAUCGAAUGGAAGCUACCAAUUAAGAAGCUAUAAUUAUUCUUCUAAACCAAAGAUAUUAUUAUUGAAGAAGCUAGACAUUACUCUUGAACUUACCUCUAUUUCUCUCUGUGAAUACCAGGAAGUAAAUAGAGCUUGAGAGAAAUAAAUAACUGUAAAAGAUCAAAAGUGUUGAUUUAGUGCAGGUAAUAGAAAAUUGAGAAGGCCAAUAAAUAAAAUGGAGAUCCACUCAAAUGCAAACUAAAUGGCAUUCAAAAAAUGAUGAAAAUAUAUAGCAAGGAAGAUGAGGAGCAAUUCCUCAAAACUUACCUUCACUGAACUAUCCUCUGCGCUGUUUCUUUUUCCAAGUGGAAAUCAAGGUAAGAAGAAAGUUUGCUUUUCCAGAAAUAAAAGAAAGUUUGCAGGUUUUUUUUUUACCUUAAUUGACCCAAUACAAGAAAAUUUUGAAAAUUGAAAAACAAAGAGUGGAAAUGAUCACAAACAGAGAUUUGGGAAUUUGGAUGAAGAAACAACAAUGGCGAGUAGUUGGUUUAACUUUAAUGUUUUGUCCAUCCUUAGUUAUUUAGCGGAUGGCAAAUAAAAGACACUACUUUUAAUCCACCUCUCCGCCUAUGCCCUUCAAAAUUUUUAAUUUUAGUUACUCAAUUCUACUUUCGCAUUAAUCGUGGAUAACUUCCGUUUUUUCUUUCCCUCUAAGGUUCCAGGUCGAUGUUAGUUGAAAAUGGUAGUUGAAUGUCCAAAGUAGGUUAAAUGCUUUCUUCUUUUUUCUUUUCGGACGGCAUAAAAGGUUGAAGAUGAUGAUGUUUAUAUCUUUCUCCACUAACAUUUCACUUCUUUACUUACAUUAAUUUAUAAUUAAACCUAAUUAAUUUACUUAUUAGUUCAGCAUUAAUAUUUAAUUAGCUUAAUAUAAUGACGUUUCCCACUACCCUCAAUUUAUGAUUGAUUUAUUUGUCAUUUUAGUCUUUUGAAUAAUUAUCAUUUAAGUAGCUAAGUUAAGCUUUUUUUUUAAAUUAAAAAUCUACUAUCUCUAAACUUAAUUAAUUACAUUUUUCGCUAAAUUCCUUAAUUGAAUUUCAAUAUCCAAAUACAUGAAAUAAAUGAGAUAAAGGUGUAUAAUAUUCUCAUUUGCCAAGUUUCAAAAUUAUACUUGGUUGAUCUGUCUCUCCUUUUCCAAGAGUGCUUCGCCGAGAGUCCUAGUGGAGGCAGUCACUUCUGCAACUUGGGAUGGGGGAAAACGGUGGAGAUGAUAGAGAGCAGAGGGACGAGAUCUCACUCUUAACUGAAGAGCUUAUUCAAUUAUCUGUCAAACGUUCGAACCAACCCUGAUUUGCACAAUAUGGACAGAGAAGUUCUAUAAUCCGGAAAGUUUCAAGGCACAGAUGAAGAGUUUGUGGAAAACAAAAAAUAAGUUCGAGAUUCAAUCAGCAGGACAAAACCUAUUUUGAUAGCGUUUGAGGCGGAAGAGGAUUUAGAAUUGAUUAUGGAAGGUAGGCCAUGGUUAUUUCGGAAGAGUCUAAUCCUUUUCGACAGGAUUACUCAAUCGGUGGAAAGAUCUCAGAUUCGGCUCAACUCCUCACCGGUCUGGCUGAACGUAGGACCAUGCCUACCUGAAUUUGAUAAAAAAGACUUGCUGCAUGCCAUAGGUGUCACUUUUAGUGGGAUAAUCAGAUCUGAAAUCAAUGGAGAAUGGUGUCGUCUAAAAAUAAAUCUCGAUGUGCAGAAACCCCUUCGAAGGGGUAUUUUUGUCUCAGUGAAUAAUAAGAAUAAAUGGUGGAUUUCAUUUAAAUAUGAUAAACUGCCAACUUUUUGCUUCAGAUGUGGAAAGCUGUGGCACGGACUCCCAGGUUGUAACUCACUGAAUCCUGCAGAAAAAACAAAAAUUAAAGAAAAUCCCCCAUACACAAUGGCACUAAGAGCAGAAUCAAACUUACUUGGAAAGGAGUGUAUUCAAUUAAAUAACUCUUUAAACCAGAAUAGGGUGCAAUGUUUUUAUACAGGUGGCUCUGACCUAGAUUUGAUUGAAUAUGGAAAAGCUGAAGAAACAAAUAAUUGGUUGGGGAUGACGCAUGGAGAACUACUAGUGAAUGAAAACAAGGAGGAGAUGAAGAAGCAAGAAAAAGAAGAUUACGUUAUGAGCAAUGAGCGGGUGGUUGAUAAGAGGAGAAGUCAAGACAGUAAUCCAAAUUCAGUAAAGAAUUCAACCUGGAGAAGAGUCAAUCCAGCCCCAACAGUGGCAAAGCAGAAGGAUUGAAAACGGUAACAAGAAGAGGAAAGCUACUGAAGAAAUAGUAGACUUAUUAUAUAGAAGCUGAAUAUGGAGUUGCGACAAAAAGGCUAAAAAAAGAUAGUGAACAGGAACAAGGAGAAACGCUACUAGAAACGGUGGGAAACGAUAUGCAACAGAGUGAUACUAAUUUACUCAGGAUCGGUGGCUGCCAAGAGGCAAGCCGACCGAACGCAAUGAAAAUCAUUACUUGGGAUGUUCGUGGAUUGGGGAGUCCACGAACAGUUAGAAGGCUGCGAUAUUUUCUAAAGCAGCAAAACCCCCAAAUGGUCUUCUUAAUGGAGACAAAAUUAAGCAUGCAAUGUAUGGAGAAAGUUAGAAGAAGAUGUGGUUUUCAGAAUGGAAUCGAUGUUGAUGCAGAAGGUUCCCGAGGUGGUUUAUGCUUAGCAUGGAAAGAAGAAAUUACGGUUACAUUAAGAAGUUUUUCUAAGUCAUAUUGAUGCAAUGGUUAUGGAAGAAACUGACAAUGCAGAAUGGAGAUUCACAGGUUUCUAUGGCUCCCCUUAUGCCAAUCUGAAGAAUGAUUCGUGGAAUUUGCUACGUAAAUUGGGACAAGACCAGACACAUCCAUGGGUAGUGAGUGGGGACUUUAAUGAAAUCAUGUAUUCUUUAGAGAAAAAAGGAGGCUUACUAAGAGAUGAAAAGCGGAUGGAGGCAUUUAGAGAAACUCUUGAAGAAUGCAAAUUGGAAGAUCUAGGGUACAUAGGGCCUUGGUUCACAUGGGAAAUGGGAAAUAUGCCAAAAACAAAUGUUAAAGAGAGACUUGAUAGAGGAGUAGCCAAUGAUAAGUGGAGGAACCUAUCUCCAAUGGGUAACAUUCAUCACUUGUCCCAUUCAAUAUCUGAUCAUUGUCCUCUGCUGCUUAUUACAAAAUCAGAAAACGUUAAUUUUGGAAAGCCAAGUUUUAAGUUUGAGGCAAGAUGGACCAUGGAAGAGUCUCUCGAAGGAGAAAUUAAAGCAUCUUGGGAUUCAACUACAAAUACCGUACCGGAGAAACUGGUAAAACUACAGUCAGACUUAAAAAAAUGGGCAGGGGAAAUUAAAAAAGGACGAGAAGGACUGAAGAAAAGGCUUACAAAGAAACUGGAAAUGCUGAUGGAAAAGGAAAGUACCGAUGACAUAAUGGCAGAGAUCAUUGAUACAAAGAUGCACCUAAACCUCGAAAUUGAUAAAGACGAAAGAUAUUGGGAACAACGAGCAAGGGUAAAUUGGAUAAAAGCAGGGGACAAAAAUACAGCUUUCUUUCACAGGCACGCCACAUCUCGACGGAAGAAAAACACGAUAUCAAGGCUGGAACUUGUCGGAGGAGGAGAAGCGACGGAAGAAUGCAAGAUCAGUGAAGAAGCUACUCUUUUCUUCCAGAAGUUAUUUACAUCAAAAGGAACAGGUGAGCUAUCCUACCUCCUAACAGGCAUUGAAGGAAAAAUGACACCAGAAAUAAAUGCAGACUUAAUGGGGAAAUUUACGGAGGAGGAAGUGCAUCUUUCCUUGAAAGGAAUGGGGCCAACUAAAGCACCAGGACCUGACGGAUUCCCAGCACUUUUCUUUCAACAAUAUUGGCAUAUUGUAGGUAAAGAAGUCACCACCUUUUGUUUGGAAAUUUUAAACAGUGACAAAAUUUUAGGCCAUUCAAAUUUUACUAGUAUUGUUUUGAUCCCAAAAGCGCAGAAUCCCAAAAACAUAACAAGUUUCAGGCCUAUCAGUCCAUGUACUGUUAUUUACAAAAUUGUGGCAAAAGCAAUAGCCUAUAGACUUCAAGGGGUUAUUGGGCAGUGUAUUGAUCUGUCGCAGAGUGCUUUCAUCCCAGGAAGGUUAAUUUCUGAUAACAUGUUGCUUGCCUAUGAGAUCUUACACACUCUUAGACGAAAACGAACAGGCAAGAAAGGCUUUAUGGCAGUUAAACUUGAUAUGAGCAAAGCCUUUGAUAGGGUUGGGUGGAGUUUUUUUAAGGAAGUCAUGUUGAGAAUGGGUUUUACAAAAGAAUGGGUUGGUUUAAUUAUGAAAUGCAUUACUACAGCUUCUUUCGCAAUCAAUAUUAAUGGAAAAGAGGGAAGUCUUUCAAUCUUCUAGAGGACUACGACAAGGUGACCCACUUAGUCCUUUCCUUUUUCUACUAUGCAAUGAGGGGCUUUCGGCACUAAUGAGAUUAGCAUUGUAAGGACGGAUAAGAGGAGUCAAGGCAAGCAGGACAGGACCAGCGAUUUCACAUCUACUUUUGCUGAUGAUUGCAUUCUGUUCGGAGAAGCAACUAACAAGGGUGUAAGGGCGCUAAAAGAAAUCCUUAAGGAAUAUGAAGAAUGUUCGGGCCAAUGUGUCAAUUUUGAAAAAUGUUCAAUUUAUUUUAGCUCAAACACGUCAGCCAGAGAUAGAGAGGAAGUUUCAGUAAGCCUAGGUAUAAGAGGGUCAACAGAUAUGGAGAAGUAUUUGGGCCUUCCUAAUGUAGUUGGAAGGCGGAAAAAGGAGGCUUUCCAAUAUCUCAAAGAUAAAGUUAAUGCUAGAAUUAAAGGGUGGAGUACCAGACUAUUAUCACAAGGUGGCAAGGAAGUUUUCAUCAAAUCCAUCCUUCAGGCAAUUCCGACUUAUGCCAUGUCAUGCUUUCUUCUCCCUAAUUCUAUGUGACAAAUUGGAAAAGUUAUUCGGUACCUUUUGGUGGCAAAAGAAGCAAGGAAAAAGAGGAAUCCACUAGUGUAAAUGGCAAAAUAUGUGCAGAGCAAAAGAACAAGGGUGGAAUCCACUAGUGUAAAUGGCAAAAUGGCAAAAUAUCUCCUUAUUAGCUAAACAAGGCUGGCGAAUCCUAAAUAAUCCAAACUCGUUAGUUGCAAGGGUGCUAAAGACUAAAUAUUUUCCAGAUACGGAUUUCCUUAAUUCGCGUCUUGGGAAUAAUAGUUCUUUUACGUGGAAAAGCAUAUGGGCAACGAGAGGUGUUCUACUCGAUGGAAGCUGUUGGAAAGUAGGGAGGGGUACCGCAAUUUCGGUCAUUAAUGAUAGUUGGUUACCGGAUUAUCCAAAAUUAUCAUCUUAUUUUACCAAUUAUACCAGGUUAUCGCAUUUGCAGGAAUAUAAAGUUGCAGAUCUAAUUGAAGACAGAAACAAAGAAUGGAAAAAAGAACUAAUCGAAGCUACCUUUCCUGCGGAGAUAUCUGAGAAAAUCUUCUGUAUCCCACUUGCAAAAGAGCUUCAUGAUGAUUUCCUGGUCUGGCGGGGAGAGUCUUCAGGAGAAUUCACAGUAAGAAGUGCCUAUAAACUAUUACAGAGCUUCGAAAAUGACCCUAGUGCUUACGCUUUACAAAAUAAUUCUAGAAAUUUCUACAGAAACCUAUGGCUCCUUAAUCUACCUCUUAAGGUAAAAAUUUUAGUCUGGAAAAUAACUUGGAAUUAUAUCCCGACUCGAGUCAACUUGAACUGCAGAAGGCUAUUAAACAAUGUGACAUGCGUUGGGUGUGGUAAUGCAGCAGAGUCUGCAAAUCAUAUAUUCCGAGAAUGUCCUGUGACAAGAACAGUUUGGGAAGAAUUAUUAUUCCCAGAAUUAUUACAAGUUCAUCAUAUGGAUUUCGUACAAUGGCUUACCUGGGUUUUUGAACAGAAUUCCACCAAUCGGCGACGGAUCUUUUGUUGUGCUCUUUGGGCAAUAUGGGGAGAAAGGAAUAGGAGAGUGCAUGAAAAGACUAAUAGAUUUGGGAAGGAGACAGCAUAUUUUGUUAAGAGAUAUAUUAGUGAACUGAAUGAGAUUGGAGCAAAAACACCUCAGGUUAGACUAAGAGGCAGGAAAUGGAAGUACCCACCUGUCCAGUUUGUGAAGGUUAACUUCGAUGCAGCAUUUGAUGUAAACUCACAACAAUCAGCAGCGGGUAUAGUGGCCAGGGAUAGCGACGGAAACACACUCUUAUCAUGUACUGAGAUUCAUCAUCAUGUGGCAUCAGCCUUUGCCGCGGAAGCAAUAGCGUGUCGAACAGCAACUCAAAUAGGCAGGGACAUGCAAUGGUCAAACAUUAUUAUUGAAGGGGAUGCAUUAUCUAUUAUAAAGAAGUGCAAACUGAAAAGCCAUGAUAAAUCCAGAAUCGGAGCAUACAUCCAAGAUAUUCAUCAGCUAUUAAAAAAUUUUGGAAACUACUAUUUUGAGUAUAUUCCCAGAGAAGCUAACAACCUGGCACACAAACUAGCGACGGUGGCAUUAAAGGAAAAAAAAGAGCUUUACCUUCUUGGAAGAGUCCCGGACUACGCUGCGAAUCUGGAAGAAGCCGAAAGAAAGACAGGGGAAAUGUGUUGAGAAGAAAUGAACGGUUACAAGGAAAAAGAAGCUGUAUUGCAAAAUUCAAAGGAGUGGCAGACAAGGCUUCAUUGGAAAUCCGAAAACGUCUCUCUGAAGUAAUGAAUAGAAGAUUUUGAAAAGACGGAAAUGGAUUUUUUCUGAUUGGGCAAGAUAUGUUAGCAUUUAUUAGGUUCUGGAAGUUUUACAGACUGUUUUUUAUUCUUUUUCUUUAAUUUCCUUUUAAGAGUUGGCCCACAGUUUUGACUUGUCUUCGGGCCAGAACUUGCUUUAGUUUACCCUGGACUUUUUAUAUUUUUUCUUCAUUUUAAGUUAUAAAGCCCAAUCUGAAUUUGUUUCAAAAAAAAAUUAUACUUGGUCAAAAUUUGUGUCAAAAUUUAAAUGUAAACUUGAUCUAUCAAUAUUUCACAGCAUGUCUCGAGUAAUGGGUGUAACAUGCCGCCCGGUGAAAUCUUAGUAUCUGAAUAUUGUUUGAAUAAAUAAGAUAGGUAAUACGAUCUAGAAGGGUAUAGUGAUUAAAGCUAGAUUAUGAAUAAGAACUAUUUGAGUGCGCCUAUGGCACCUUGAGAUUGGCGAGCACUAGGUUAGCCCAUAACGAGUAAGAAAUAUAUCUGACAGAAACGAUUCACCCAAAAGCCUUUGAUUGGCGUAAAAAAGACGGGUGGAAUAUGUUAUAAGUAACGAGAAAAUAAACCGUGUGUCGAGAAGUCUAUGUCAACAAUAAGUGCACUUAGUAACGAUGGCCUUGAGCCAGUUAAGUUAUAAAGAAACAAUGGUUAAGUUUAACUGAAUAUGAGCUAAAAUAGUUAAGAACUAAAGGAAAGCAGUUGAUUAAUAUUCCUGGAACUGGUAAGAUUUGGAUAAAACCACCAAUUGAUUUAUGUGACGUGUGCCUAGUUCCAAUAUAGACUUGGGGUUAAGUUAAGGGCAUGAGAUAGGUUAAGAAGAGAUAUCUUCUCUCUCAUUGGUGGAGUAAGGCUAAGAGAAGAUGUAUGAACUCUGAAAAAGAUCUAAAGUCGACAAUUAGGCAAGUGAGAGGCAAGGUAAUGACGGGUGUAUGGGCAAGCCUUCGUAGAUGUAUGUUUGAUGAGCUUUCAAGUGAUGCUCGAAUGAUGAUAUGCUUGAAUGAGAAAGCAAUUUAUGCACCUGUGUAUUGAAUACCGUUAGUUGAACAAGGUCAUGACCUAAUAAUAAAUAUCAUUUACUAAGGAUUGAGGGCUUAUUUGAUCAGUUAAGUGGGAUUUUCCAAAAUUGAUGUAAGGUUAGGUUAUUAUCAGAAAAGGAUUAAAGGUGAUAGACAGCUUUUCAGUCAAGAUAUAGUCACUAUGAGUUUUUGGUGAUGUCAUUUGGGUUGACAAAUACACCAAUAAUAUUCAUGGACUUAAUUAAAUUCCAACCUUACUUGGAUCAAUUUGUUGUAGUCUCUAUUGAUGAUAUAUUGAUAUAUUCUAAGAGUAAGAGUGAUAAUGAAGAGCAUUUGAGAAUUGUGUUGAGAACCUUGCAUAACAGUUAGUUGUAUAUUAAGUUCAACAAAUGUGAGUUUUGGCUAGAAAAAGUGCAUUUGUUAAAUUUUAAAAAAUAAAAAUUCUAAAGAAUAUAUAAAACAUUUUAAAAAUUCUAAAAUAAUAAUUCUGGGGACAUAAAUAGGUAAAUUAAUGGUUCAUGUUUAUCAUACUAAAGUAUUUUAUUUUUUCAAUUAUUUUGAUUUGAAAGAGUUUCAAAUAUAUAUGCUCUAAAAUAGAAUUAGUUGUAUGAUUACAAGAUUUGAAUUUGAUAUGUUUAAUUUUUUAAUAUAACUCAAAUAAUUUUACUCGAUACGACUCAAAUUUCAUUUUACUUGAUUCGAUUUAAAAAAAUUCAAAUUAAGUUAAAAUAAUAAAAUAAGACUUAUCAACUUGAACUUUUUCCAUUCGAUUCUACUCUAUUCGAUCCAAGACUAAGAAAUCAAAAUUUUUGUUCUCGAAAAACCAGUAAUGGUGAUUAGAGCAGAACAAAUAUUUCCAUAUUUAAAGAACACCAUUAAUUUGAGUUUACUUUUCUUUGCGCUCCUCAAGUAAUUAAUUACGAAGAGUCUUCACCACUUUUGCUAGUUGGAUGGGUAUUGUUAAUGAAUUAUUUUUUAUUAUUUUUAUGAUGAAUAAUUAAUUAUCAAGUUUGCUCACCACUUUCGCUAGUGGGACUGGCAUUGUUGAUGAAUUACUUUUUACUAUUUUAACUUACCUGCUUCUUUUGACGAAUUACUAUUUUUAAAUUAAACAAAAUUAAGAGACAUGACAUACUAAGAGCACGCUACAUCAAUUUUUUUAACGCUGUUAACAGUUGGGACAAAGUGAUACAUAGUUAGAAACUUUAGGUGUCAAAUUAAUGCAAAAAAAAUUUUAAAUACUAAAGUGAUAAUUGAGUGAAACUUUAGGGGGCAAAUAAUUCGUUAACCCUUUUACAAAUAGGAUAAGUUGACCUAAAAAAUUUAACAAAAUUGAAAUUUAAAAAUUUUAAAAAUGAAGGGCAAAAUUUAAUUAAAUUAAAGUAUAAAAAUUAAAUAUACAAGUUGCACAUAAUACAAAAAUGGAUAAUAAAAUUUAAUUGCUUAAAUUAUAGAUAGAAUUUCAUCAAGUCUUAAGUUUUAAAUCUUGUGAGAGUUAUUUUAUUCAAUAAUAUCAUUAAUUAGUGGAAGACGAAGACAUUUUAUUUGGAGUUAUUGGUUUCACUUUUUUAUGUUUAUUUAUUUUAUUUUUAUUUUUAGAAUAAAACAAUUGUCGAAAGAAAAAUGGGUUUUGGUUAGAUUAUUUUAUUUAAUAAGAAAUUAUGGUAUUUAUUUAUAGUGCUAAACAUAAUUUAUCCCUUCAAAUCUUCAAUAGCUUUGCUAUCUAAAAUACUAUUAUGUUGAAUAGGCUUAACUCAUCCUUUGAUAUUUAAGUAUCACAAAUGAUAUAUAGAUUACUUUUUUUAUCUAAGUCUAUUCAAAAGAUGUCAUCAGGAAUGAAAUUUCAAAUGUCUUUGACAUCAACUAAAUAGUCAACAUUACUAUAAUAACUAGAGUUUACACUCUAAUCAUGAAUGUUUUUAUCCGUAUCAUUUUCAAUCGGGUCUUUUCUUACACUAGUAUUUUCAACCUUUGUUAGUCAAACAGUCAAUCAAACCGUUAAUCUAUUUAAAAAAAGACUUAACCCAUAAACUGGUACCUAGACUCUAUCAUUUUUUCCAUUUUGGUACCUAAACAAUUUGUAACAUCUCAAACCUGACCUAGACAUUAAGAUUGAAUUUGGAAGAUUACAUCGGCCACCGAAAUGACCUAGUACGAUUGGAGUUUAUAAAACGGUUGUUUAUUAUUGAGGAAAACUUAGCAUGUUAUCUUUGUUUUACUGAAAGUUAUAAUUUUCCCAAAAGGAUGGAAUUUAAAGUUUACUUAGUAAAAGUCGAUUCUCGAUUUUUAUAUGUUUUUCAAAUCUCAUUUACAUAAUAAUGUAGCGAAAAAAGUGAUUUCAACUUGAGUUUAAUGAAAACUAGAUUUGUAUGCAUGAUUAAUUAAUAAACCAUAUUUUAAUAACCUAAAUCAAAAUAAAAUAUCAUCCAUGCUGAGCAAUCCCAAAGCCUAAGUCCCAUGCCACAGUUUAAAUAAAAUAUUACAAUCUUUGUAUAGAAAAAAUUGCGAAAAUGAUCUAAAAUAAUAAAAUAAUAAAAUAUGAAAUAAACAAUCUGUGGCAAUAAUCCUAGUGGCAUUCAUACCUAAUCUAAAUGAAUUUCAAGAAUGAUCAUACAAUAGCCCUAGUGGCACUCAUACCUAAUCUAAAUGACAUGCUUCCAAUAUAUGCAUGGGAUGCUAUGACAAUUUUAUAAUAUUCACAUUCUUUCACAAGAAUCAAUCAAUCAUAAAAAAAAUUUUUGAUUCUCUAGAGUUUUUCUUUUAAGGGAAAAACUGAAGAAGUGAAUGUGAACCGUGCACUAGAAACAGUCCUAGGAAAGGGAGGUGAGUCAAAUUUGACCACUUAAAAACAAGCCUUUCCUAGCCAAAGCCAGUCCUAAACAUGCACAUUCUCAUUACCAUACUUCUCACAGUAAUCAAAUAACCUAAAGAAGUUAAUAGAAUAAUACAACACAUGUAUUUUCUCAUUACCACACUUCUUAUUUUUUAAUCGAUCAAUUGUGGAUCAUCUCAUAUAUAUAUCACAAUUAUAACAUUAAAUAGAUAUAUAAGAUGAUAGGUAAUUAAAAUAAAAUUGCCAACCAAGGUUUCCAUGGUUCUAUUUAUAGAAAAUAAACGAAAAAAAUAAAAUUACACAGUUUUUAGUUUUUCGCCACAAGGUAUUCCUCGGGUCUUCAACUGCCAUCAGUCCAUAUUCUCCUCGUCAUGGACACCUUUUUGGAAAAAAAUACAUUUAAGUCUUAUGUCCGUUUUCGGAUCACAAGAAUUCUAUGAAUUUUAAAAAAUAACCCUACACGGAAAUGAUAGUCCACGGUCUAUUUUCUAAGAACCACAACCUCGAUAAAAAAAUUUAUAACAAAUAUAUAAUAUCGCAUUCAUUCUCAUAUAUAACUCAAUAUAUGCAUAAGAUCUAAAGAAUGCUACUCUCUAUGUAAUCAAGUCAUUUAAGAAGAAGUGAAAUUUAUUUUGAUUAUCUGUUUAUACUUAUAGAUAGAGUACAACCUGGCUCUGUUUAUAUAAUAGACAUAUAUAUCAUUCACAAUCUAGGCAAUUAUAUAUAACAUUAAUUCAGCCAAUCAUGUCAUGGAUUCUAGCAUUUUCAAUAUUAUUAGGGACUUAAUUGUAUAAAAAUAAAACACUAAAAAGUAGUUUGAAAACUAUUCAGUGACAAACCUGAACAAAUCAAAAAAUUCUAGGUAAACUUGUAAAAUAGGGGCUCAAGGCCGUGUGCAAUGCCUUAAGCCAUGCGAAGGGUUUACACGACCGUGUGACAGACUAUGAAAAUGUGGAUCAUGCAAAAUCAAGGUACAAGGGAGACACAGCUGUGUGGNNNNNNNNNNNNNNNNNNNNNNNNNNNNNNNNNNNNNNNNNNNNNNNNNNNNNNNNNNNNNNNNNNNNNNNNNNNNNNNNNNNNNNNNNNNNNNNNNNNNNNNNNNNNNNNNNNNNNNNNNNNNNNNNNNNNNNNNNNNNNNNNNNNNNNNNNNNNNNNNNNNNNNNNNNNNNNNNNNNNNNNNNNNNNNNNNNNNNNNNNNNNNNNNNNNNNNNNNNNNNNNNNNNNNNNNNNNNNNNNNNNNNNNNNNNNNNNNNNNNNNNNNNNNNNNNNNNNNNNNNNNNNNNNNNNNNNNNNNNNNNNNNNNNNNNNNNNNNNNNNNNNNNNNNNNNNNNNNNNNNNNNNNNNNNNNNNNNNNNNNNNNNNNNNNNNNNNNNNNNNNNNNNNNNNNNNNNNNNNNNNNNNNNNNNNNNNNNNNNNNNNNNNNNNNNNNNNNNNNNNNNNNNNNNNNNNNNNNNNNNNNNNNNNNNNNNNNNNNNNNNNNNNNNNNNNNNNNNNNNUAUUGAUGUUGGUACUGCUUGGUAUCCAUUUAAUAUUAUGCAUAUAAUGAUGGAAAACAUAAUAAACAUACCCACUUACCCCUUCAAAAUGAAGUACUGAUUCCAAGAAUUUGAGUGUGAAAAAAAAAGCAAAUCCAAACAGUCUAUUUUGCUCUGAUUUAGUUCAAGAAAAACAUAAAAAUAUAAUAUUAGAUGAAGAAAUAUAUAACAAAUUUAUAUAUAAAAAAAUAAAAAAUAAAGAAAUUAAGCAUACAUAAAUACAUUUACCUCACUUGGGAACUUCAAAAUCAAACUAGACUAGGUGCUGAGAAGAUCCUUGCUACUUCAAGACGAUCAAAUGGGAUUUGAAGGGAUAUUUUCUUGGUUUUUGGGAGCAAAAGAAAGUAAGCAAAACUGAAGAAGAAAAAAGAAAAAAACUUGAAGGUCUUUUCUUCUUUUUAAGGGAAAGGAAAUAAAUAAAAAUAAAAAUCAAGGUUGCACUAAAAUGUUAAGAAAAGUUUUAAGACAACUGGGUUCAAAGGAUUUGUGUUAUGAGAUUACCUCGAUAUGGGGAGCUAAAUUAUUGAUGUUGGCACUGAUUGGUUUGGUAAUGGCCCCAUCCAUUUAUUUUGCAAUUAUGAUAGGAGACGACUUAGAAAAAGAUGAGUCUUUGGGUCCUAUUUUCACACUUGAUAAUUAGCACAUCAACCACCCCUAAAUUAUGACCAUUAUUUUAAAUCUAUUUUCAAACUUCAAAUUCAUCUACUAAACAAUUGAUGUUAUAUUAAUCAAAUUAUUUUGUUGUUAAAAUCAAUAAAUGAUACGUUAAAUUUUAUAUAGCUAAUUUUAAAAUAAAAAUUUAAAGAAACUAAAAUUAAAUAAAACUGAAUUUUUUAAAAAAUGAACAAUAAAAAUUUUGUAAAAACUUCAAAACCAAGUUUUUUAAAAUUAACUAUUUUUACAAUUUUUUUUAAAUUUUCAUACUUCUGUAUCUGAUUGUUUUUUUACAAUAUGGUAUGUUUUAAAGUUUUGAUUAGAAUGGCAUGUACUUAGGAAAAAUAUUAGGUAUGUUCCAAGUAUUAGUUUUUUAUGUUCAAUUAUAUUAGUAAUUAGCCAAGUAUUAAUUUGGCACCAAAUGUAAUAUUCUUAUAUCAGGUUCCUUAAGUCGAACAUGGUAUAGGGGUGUUACAUUUAGAAUUUUCUGCCAUUUUUGAUUCUCCAUUGAUGUCCAUUUCUCCUUCUCCUGUUGUCGCACAUUGAAGUUUUUGUUGCCCUCAUAAUUUCUGCAUUGCUGCCCCAUCUAAGUCUCAUCUUGUCAUCAUUAUAUCUCACCCCUUGACUGAACCCUCUUAGCUUGGUUAGUGAGCAUUCAUUAUUGUUAAUCGACUAUUAACGCAGAUCUUCAAACCGGUGUAGCGUUAAGAAGGAAUCGAGACGAAUCCGAGUUGUAGUGGUGCUCCGGUCAAUUGUUAAUAUUCUAUGGAUUGUAAUUGAGGUGUGAGAUUCAAAUCAAUUGUGAGUGGUGUAUGCAUGUGUACUAUUUUGCAUGUUGGCCGAAUAACGUUGUUUUACCAAAUACUUAUCGAUCAACUUCCAAUUAGCUGCUACUGGUUCCUUUUGUUACUGACUUGCUAUUUAAUUUGCUUCAAUUUUGUUGCUUAACCUCGUACGAUCAAAUGGGAUUUGAAGGGAUAUUUUCUUGGUUUUUGGGAGCAAAAGAAAGUAAGCAAAACUGAAGAAGAAAAAAGAAAAAAACUUGAAGGUCUUUUCUUCUUUUUAAGGGAAAGGAAAUAAAUAAAAAUAAAAAUCAAGGUUGCACUAAAAUGUUAAGAAAAGUUUUAAGACAACUGGGUUCAAAGGAUUUGUGUUAUGAGAUUACCUCGAUAUGGGGAGCUAAA